UAAAGUUACGGUAGUAAUUGACUGGACCAGAGAAGCCUUUCUCUUCAAACUUGCUGACGAAGUAAGCAACAUCUUCCUCAGUUAGCCAAGAAGGUAGAGGUAUAGUUUCGCCUUUGGAUCCCCAAAAACUUUUGUCCUUCGGUAUAAUAACCGGUCCAGGAGUUCUAUAAGUGAGUAGUCUCUUCAUGACUCUCUCUGUUCCAACCUCUGCAAUCUCAGCUUCUAUAACUCCAACUUCCUACCCUCCAGCAUCUAACCUUAUAAAUAACUUUUCCUUCAAGUAAUUAGCUACAAGCCUACAAGAGUAUAAAGAACAAACCUGAAACCUGCAGACAUAGUAAUCAUCGCCGUAGAAAGCACGCAGGCGUUCAACGGGCUUCGUGGAUGGAUCGGUUGGACGCAAGAACGGGACACUAAGGUUGAUCAAAGCUUUAACCUUAUCUGGUCGGAAGAGACAAAGGUACCAAGCGAUGAGAGCACCCCAGUCAUGUCCAACCACAAACACCUUCUCCUUAUCCUCGGUCAAGGCGGAUAUGACGGCGACUAAGUCACCUACGAUGUUGAAGCAUGUGUAGGAAGAGAUCUCAGCGGGAGCAUCGGAAUCACCGUAACCACGUAGGUCAGGACUCAGGAGCAACAGCGCGGUAGCCACGAGCAGCGAGUCCGGGGAUCUGGUGGCGCCAUGAGUACCAAAGCUCAGGAAAGCCAUGGAGGAGAAGGACUUUAGGACCAUCGGAGGGACCUUGGAUUGCUACGUGGAUAUCUAUGCCGUUCCCUCUUACCUUCAUGUGCUCCAUUGUUUUUACUUUGUGUGGUGCUGGCGUAAGUAAUCUUGAGUGACUAAUCUUUUAUACUAAAUAGAUUACCCAACACGUCCGACCAAAAAAAAAAAGAUUACCCAACACGUGUUAAUAUUUAACUCAUUUAUUUCUAGAAGAUUUUUUUUUAUUUAUCUCUUAUUUUUUGCUUUUUUUUAAUGAACCUAAAAUUUAUUCACCAAAAUAAAUGUUUUUACAAUAAAUGCAGAUUUGAGUGUCUAAUUUUCAAAAUGAGAAUGAUCUAAAACAGAGAAUUACAAUGACGAAUGUAGUCUAGUGGCUACGGGUGCUAAACCAAUAGCGAAGACUUUCAUCAUACUAAACCAAUAGCGAAGACUUACAAUGACGAAUGUAGUCUAGUGGCUAUAAGGUAUGUGUUCCAACUAACGAUUACCCAUUGAACGAAUGGUGCUGAAACCAUUGCAGAUAUUCUUAUCGAUAAGUCGGAUGAGCUUGGCACAUGGAAUAGGACCUUCACCAUGUCGUCUUCCAUUGCGUUCUCUCCAUAAUGUAUGGAUCGUUAGUUGGAACACAUACCUUAUAGUUCAAAGUUGAAGUUUCUGCUGAGACGUGUUAAUAAGGUGUGGCGUGAGUGAAUAUCAGUUUGUAGUGUAACGAUCGGGAAGGAUACCUCUCAUGUGGGACGACCAAACUUGUGAAGAGUAUGGGCAGAAGAAAAACAGAUGACUCCUUGUUUCCAAGCUUUCUCCACAGAAAACGCAACCGCACCCAUAUUCGAUGACCUGAGCUUGUCACAUGUAGCUACACGAUCAUGGAACGUUAGCCAGGUUAUGAAUGAGUACCUUGGAGUUGAAAACGGCAACCACACUCCUUUAUACCAUUCACACCUCGAGUUAUGCUCUCGUAUCUGCUGCCAAGUGUGCUUCAAUAAGAAUUUAUUCUUGAAUCUAUCAUCUUUGAAACGCCAAAGGAAGCGGUCAGCCUAUCCUGUUCUAGUCAAACGAAUAUUUUCCAGCUGAUCCUCUAUUUGGUUAAGUGUGUUCACUCGGUGACGCCGUCUCCUAUGUGAUUCCAACACUUCCGCAAAAGAGGCGUGAAUAGCCACGCCCAUAUCAAUGGUACCUCGAACUCCCAGAAUAUCAUGAAGCCUCCCUAAAGGACUCCAGAUAUCUUUUGCCUUUUAUGUUCUGUUCUCUUAUCAGUCACCAUCAAGUCUCUUACAAUGUGCUAUUUACCUUAUUAUAACUUAGAAGAAUGUCACAUGAUAUGCACGCAUCCAACUUUAGUAUUAAUACAUAUAUUACAUAGGAUGAUAUAACGAAAUACAUGAGGAUGUAUCCUCAUAAUUCAACUUAUUAUGCAACUUACAAGAAUGAUUUAAGAGAAAACAAGAUUAGAAUUUGGAGAUGAAAUCAAGGAUAAUUUGGAGAAUCUCUUGAGGCUUUUCUUGGUUAAUGAAGUGAGCCACUCCUUCCAUGACCACAGGCUCUUCAAGCAAAGGCACAUCUUCCUUAAACUUGGGACCAUGUAUAUAUUCUUUGACACCAGGCAUAUAGUAGACCAAGUCAAGCUCCCCUAUCACAAACUUUGUAGGCACCUGGAUUUUGCUCCCCACCCAUGGACCCAACAGCUCAUUGUUCCUGCCAUUACAAGACCCAUUCAACAAUUCUUCCUAAACAAUAGGGACAAUAUUUGUCUUAUUCAAACUUACCGGUUAAAGUUACGGUAGUAAUUGACUGGACCAGAGAAGCCUUUCUCUUCAAACUUGCUGACGAAGUAAGUAACAUCUUCCUCCGUUACCCAAGAAGGUAGAGGUAUACUUUCGUCUUUCGAUCCCCAAAAGCUUUUGUCUUUCGGUAUAAUAAUCGGUCCAGGAGUUCUAUAAGUGAGUAUCCUCUUCAUCACUCUCUCUGUUCCAACCUCUGCAAUCUCAGCUUCUAUAUCUCCAACUUCCUACACUCCCCAUCUAACCUAAUAACUAAAGAUUCCUUCAACUUCAAGUAAUUAGCUAGAAGAGUAAAAAGAACAAACCUGAAACCUGCAGACAUAGUAAUCAUCGCCGUAGAAAGCACGCAUGCGAUCAACGGGCUUAGUGGAUGGAUCCGUUGGACGGGAAGAGAACGGAACACUAAGGUUGACCAAAGCUUUGACUUUAUCUGGUCGGAAAAGACAAAGGUACCAAGCGAUGAGAGCUCCCCAGUCAUGUCCAACCACAAACACCUUCUCAUCCUCUGAGGCGGUUAAGGCGGAUAUGACGGCGACUAAGUCACCUACGAUGUUGAAGCAUGUGUAGGAAGAGAUCUCCGCCGGAGCGUCGGAGUCACCGUAACCACGUAGGUCAGGAGCCACGGCACGGUAUCCACGAGCGGCGAGUCCAGGGAUCUGGUGGCGCCAUGAGUACCAAAGCUCAGGGAAGCCAUGGAGGAGGAGGACUAUAGGACCAUCGGAGGGACCUUGGAUUGCCACGUGGAUGUCUAUGCCGUUCCCUCUUACCUUCAUGUGCUCCAUUGUUUUUGCUUUGGGUGGUGGUGGCGUAAGGAGUCUUGACUCUUGAGUGACUAAUCUUUUAUGGUACUAGAUAGAUAGAUUACCCAACACGUGUUAAUAUAAAUUUAACUCAUUUAUCUCUAGAAGUUUUUUUUUCUUUUCUUUUGAUUUUUAUGUUAUGUUCUGUUCUCAGUCACCAUCAAGUCUAUUACAAUGUGAUAUUUAGCGUCAAUAUACCAAACCCCGUACGAGUGCAAUGAAUUGAGAAUGAAUUCGAUUUGACAUUUAAUAAAAAGAUGCGUGGUACACUUUUCUCAGACUUUCUAUUGUUUGUGGAAUCGGGAAUAUAUGAUUUGUUAAAUCGUGGUGUAAUUGUGUGUUUCUUUAGUUGGCAAAUCAUUAACCAAAUUAAUUUAGUGAUUUAUUUGUCUCCUUUUUGUAGUAUGGAAAGAAUCUUAAUUAAUAAGUGUAUUAUAAAGUGAAAAAUCUAAUAUUGUGGUUUAGACUAUGGGGUAUAAUUUGAGAUAAACAUACGAGCAUUCCCUAUAAACUUUGAUCAAUUUACCACACUAACUAUUCCAAGACGCAAGAUGCAAAAGUCACAAUGGUAAACAAUAAUGAUCAAAACACAAUCAGACUAUCAACCAUCGUGACCAAUAUGCACACAAUACUUGCCUUUUGGUAUCAUUGUGACCAAUAUGACCAAUACUAACACAAAAUCAAUACAUUCGAGAUUCAAGAAUACUACUACCAUAAUCUGCAGGAGCAUCACAUACAUUCUACAAGAUACUCCAAGAUGCAUCUACUUCAUGAAAUGAGAGACUUUAUAUACAAAACAAACACCAAAACAGAGAUAAUAAGUGUUUUAAACACACAAUGUAAUGUCCCUAUAACCAAAGUAAAAUCUACCUUUUCUUGGUGUAUGAUGCCGCAUUCUAGGAUUUCAUUCACAUAUUUAGAAUAAUCACGAAAGGCUUAGAGCAUAACAUAAAACAAAUACUCUCAAGAUUCAAGGAAACUACAAUCAUAAUCUGCAGAAGUCGCACAUGUCAAAAUAAAUAUCUACAAGAGACUCUAAGAUGCAUCCAUUUUAUAGAAUGAAAGACUUUAUGAUACACAAGCAUUGAAAACAGAGAGGUUAAAAAUAUUAAAACACACAAUGUAAUGUUCCAAUACCAAAGCAAAAUCAAUACAUUCGAAAUUCAAGAAUACUACUACCACAAUCUGUAGGAGUAUCACAUACAUUCAAAAUAAGUAUCUACAAGAUACUCCAAGAUGCAUCUAUUUCAUAACAUGACAGACUUAUUAUACAUACAAACACCAAAAGAGAGAUAAUAAGUGUUUUAAACUCACAAUGUAAUGUCCCUAUAGCCAAAGUAAAAUCUACCUUUUCUCCGUAUAUGAUGCAGAAUUCUAGGAUUUCAUUCACAUGUUUAUAACAAUCACGAAAGGUUUAGAGCAUAACGCAAAACACAUACUUUCAAGAUUCAAGGAAAUUACAAUCAAAAUCUGCAGAAAUCGCACAUAUGUCAAAUAAAUAUCUACAAGAGACUCUCAAAUGCAUCCAUUUUAUAGAAUGAAAGACUUUAUGAUACACAAGCAUUGAAAACAGAGAGGUUAAAAAUAUUAAAACACACAACGUUAUGUUCCAAUACCAAAUCAAAAUCAAUACAUUCGAGAUUCAAGAAUACUACUACCAUAAUCUGCAAGAGUAUCACAUACAUUCGAAAUAAGUAUCUACAAGAUACUCCAAAAUGCAUCUAUUUCAUAACAUGACAAACUUAUUAUACAUACAAACACAAAAACAGAGAUAAUAAGUGUUUUAAACUCAUAUAGCCAAAGUAAAAUCUACCUUUUCUCCUUAUAUGAUGCAGAAUUCUAGGAUUUCAUUCACAUGUUUAUAAAAGUCAUGAAAGGUUUAGAGCAUAACGCAAAACAAAUACUUUCAAGAUUAAAGGAAAUUACAAUCAAAAUAUGCAGAAAUAGCACAUAUGUCAAAUAAAUAUCUAUAAGAAACUCUAAGAUGCAUCCAUUUUAUAGAAUGAGAGACCUUAUGAUACACAAGCAUUGAAAACAAAGAGAAUCAAAAUUUUAAAACACAAUAUAAUGUUCCAAUACCCAAAGCAAAAUCUACAUUUUUUUAUCAAUGAUAUGUUAGCAAAUAAGUUCAUAAAAUUUGAAAGAUAGAUCAAGGACAGUAAUGCUAUUGAGGCAGCUAAUAUAAAAAAAACAUUUUAAAUUAUGAAUGGUGCUUAGACCUGCAUUUCCAAUUUCUUUAAUUCUAAUAUGUAAAUUUUCACAUGUAAUAAAAUAAUUUUAUCACUGGAAAAUCGCAAAAAGCUUAUAUACCUGGUAAUAAAUUCUGAUACUCUUAGAAAUCUCCUUGGUUGGAAGAAAAAGAAAAAAAAAAAAGAAAUCUCCUUGGCAUCACGGAAAAAUUAACACCUUUUGAGGCACAAACCUGAGCAAAUCAAAAUUAGUCUAUACUUCACGUAUGUGUCUCUCACUUGUGAUUUUCUUAAUUGUAUCAACAAAUUACAAACAAGUUUGAAAAGAAAAUAAACACAUAAACAAAAAGGUUUGAAAACAUAUACCUGUUAAAGAAGUUUGCUACACUUGAAAUCUCCUUGAACACCUUCAAAAGCACAUAUCUGAGGAAAUAAGAAUCUUCCUAUAACAAAAGUAAAUCCAAAACAAUUAGUAAAUUUGUAAAAUUAACCGAUCUACAAACAAAAGUUAAAUUCAUCCCUCAACAUGUAUUGUUUUUGUUCAGAUUAAGAGGAUUCAGAUUUGAUAUACAAAGGAAAACAUUGAUACUCUCUAUGUUCUCGUCAACACUAAAAAUCAAUCUAUGAAACCCAAAUAUCUCUCUUUUGUCAUGGAGCGAAUUCAAACAUGACAUCAGAUCUACUUCUAGGGAUAGUAGAGACUUACGGUAUUGCCCUGUGUUCAUUGAAAAACUCUUUCAAGUGCCUCAUGUGUCACUGAGUUGUAACUUCUUUCUCUCAUGCUCUAGCUGUGACACAACAAAACUGUAUUAAUAUCAGAUGAAACGCAAAUAUUACAUUUACGGUACUUCUAGGGAUAGUAAAGACUUACGGUAUUGCCCUGUGUUCAUUGAACAACUCCUUCAAGUGCCUCAUGUGUCACUAAGUUGCAAAUUCUUCCUCUCAUGCUCCAGCUGUGAGACAACAAAAAUGAAACGAAAAUACUACAUUUACUACUUGGUAUAGACACUUACCACAGUCUUUACUCGAUCAUUGACAUCACGGUUUCCACGGAAGACACAAUCCAGCAUUAAGAGCAUGUCUUUGUUAUCUGACCGUACAUAAAGCCUGAAAUCCAACAUCACAUAACAUUCAAUCAAAUAGAGUAGAUGUUAAAAUUCAAUAAAAUGAUAACUAGCAUAAUCAUACAACAAUUUUUCACCACCGGUUCUUAAUUUGCAAAACAGGGAGAUCUCAACGUAAGUAGGAAAACACUGAAACAGGGAAAUCUUAAUUGCAAAACAGGAAAACUCAGAAACUCUCUUUGUUCUCGUCAACACUAAAAAUCAAUCUCUAUAACCCAAUAAUCACUAAUCUUCUUAUCUUGAAGCGAAUUUAAACAUGGCAUCAGAUCAAGGGUACUUCUAGGGACAGUGAGAGUCUGUAAAUCAUCCUACGGGAAAUUUGUUCAAAACUAAUACCCUAAUCUUGCACCAUAUCUGAUUCCAAUCAAAGAAAGCUUCACUUUGAAAUACAGAGAAAGACAAACCACGACCAACACGAGCGGAGAAAUCCACCGUCCGUUCCGUUGCACUAACUCCGCCAUCACGAACAAAGAAACAAAACCGCCACCACCCGAUACAGAAACUUAGGGUUUUUAUCCACGAUUCGAAAUAAUUAGGGUUCCACGACAAAAUUGCACAACCGGAUUUGAUUCGGACGAGAGAGAAAGAGAGCGAGAUUAGGAUUAUAAAUUGAAGGACGAAGGAAAACGUUCAACGGGAAAAGAGAAAAGAAAGAAGAUAAACGAUUUUUUGGUGAAAGUCGGCUGAAGAAAGAAGCUUUUAUUUAACAAACGGCUAAAUGCCUAAAUUUAAUUCUCUUUGGGUCUCUCUCUCUUUUUUAUCCACAUAACAAUUAUUCGUCGGUCCACCCGUUAUUGGGCCGUAACAAUUAUUAUUCGGUCCAUUAUCCACGUAAGCAAGUAAGUCAUGGUUUUUUUUUUUUUUUUUUUUCUCAAGCAAGUCAUGGUUAGUUCUCACUGUAUGUUAUUUUUCACAAAAUAAAAUUGGAAUGGACCGAAGAAUAAUUUUUACGGCCAAUAAUGGAUCUAGUUAUUAGAUAACGAUUGAAUUUUCCCGUUAAAAAGUUAAAAGUCCUGGAAAUAUUAUUAAAGCAUAACGUGACAAACACACAUUAUUAAAAAAGAUUGAAUACAAACAAACAUUUGACGCUAAUUAAUUUUUAAAUAUAUCUUCGUUCAACUUUUCCAACAAUUCUUUGCUCUGAUCAUCGAAAUGCUCUUCUCCACUUAGCUUCAUAAACAUCUUCAUUUUCUUAGCUUGAGUCCUUUCUUUCAUUAAUAGGUUUGUCUCCUCUUGUGUCAUGGUUAUUUUGUCCAAUCUUUCAAGCUCUUGCUCCUUGAAUUGUUUGUAUUCAUUCCAUUCUUUGUUGACCACUUCCAAAGCUACAUGAUCUCUUUUGAAGUAUUUUUUCUUGCUAUGAGGUGCAUAGUUUUCUUCUAUAUUGUCUCGACGCUUUCUAAACCGGUUCACAAUAUACUUCUCUUCAAUUUGAGACUGCCUUUUGUAAGCUUCGAUAUCAAAAUGAAAUUUUGAUGGAUCCAUUGAUAUUAGUUUUAGUAUGAUGAGAUUUGUAGUAUUGAUACAACAAUGGAAGUAUGAGUCUUUAUUUAUAAAAAAUUAAGUGGUUGAAAUCGCCGGACUCCAAACAAACAUUAUAUUUACAUAAUUAAUAGAUAAGGUUUGGAUUCUCUCAUUAAAAGCCAAAAGACAUGGAUUACAUCGACAAAAAAUCAUGAAUUACUUACAAAGGAACAUUAUUAAAGCAGAAAGAGAUAGAAUACAAAAAGACACUUGACAACAAUUAGAUAUAUGAUCUAAAAUUUAUACAAAUCCUUCUCAUAUUAAUAUAUGAUUAAUUAUGUGUCAUUCACUACAAUUAUCACGUUCUCUUAUAAUUUUAUAAAAAUGAUUCUUUUUAUAUAUUUUCAUAUGAAUAUCACAUCGAUUUCAAGAUGGAAUAAUUAUGUUAUACAGUUAUUUAAUAUAUACUAUAAUAUAAAAUACAAAUAUAUGAAUUUUUUAUAAACAAAAUUAUUUAUAAAAUUAAAUUAACUAAAAUUUAUGUACAUGUAUAAAUCAAUCAUAUAUUAUAUGAGAAGGAUUGUAUAGAUUUUAGAUCAUAUAUUUAAUUUUCCAUAUUUCAUAAGUUUCAGUUUGCUUUUUUUUUUUAAUUUAGGAAACAAUAAUUAUCUAAAUAUAUAAGAAAUCUUUAUAUAUAAAAUUAAAUAUUUGAAAAUUUGAAAUAUAUAUUUAUGUAAAUAUAUUUAAUAUUUGUAUAUGUUUGGUUAUUGAUGUUUUUAGUAUUAUUAUUUUCAAUUAGUUGCAUAUAUUUUUAAUUAAUUGUAUAUUAUUAUUUUUAGUAUAUAUAUACGUUCUGUUUGUUCUAAUACCAAAAUGUUAUCGUAGCUAAACGGUUGAGAGUCUCUUAUGAGUCAAAACAGAAAAGCAGUUUGAUUUCUUGUGGACCCAAUAUUUUUGUUUUUUUCUAAUGAAACGUACGUCGUUUGAAAGCUUAAAAACGACGUUGUUUUGAUUUAACGAAGACUUCUAACGGAUUGUUAACCAUGUGAACGUCUGCUGAACGACAUGCUCGAAAUGGCUAAGUCAACGAAAUUUGACCAUUUUAUCAAAAACUCAAACUAAGCUUUACGAUUUAAAUGACAUAUCGAAAGUUCGUGUCUCUCAUCACAAAUUUUAAAAUUCAUUUAUUUCGACAUUAAUUAUUAUUUAAAAUCAUAAUUUCUUUAAAUUCUUAAAUAUUCAAUUUAUUUUAGUUUUUUCUGUUAUUCAUAAAUGCAAUCUGUAAUACUGUAUUAAACAGAAAAAUGGAAAGAGAGUACUUUAACUUAAAGCAAAUUUACUAGUAUGUUUAGUCAUAUAAACCUCCGCUCCACACACGUAACUUAAGGCUCCUCGUCCCCAACGGCUAGUAAUUAAAAAUUUAACAUUUUUAUGACUAACACUCAAUAUAAACCGUUAGAUCUUAAUUAAAAGUCAAACCAACGGUCAAGAUUCGAUUCAAAAAAAACAUGACCGUUAGAGAGAGCUAAAACUUUUCCUUUUUAAAAUAAAACAGUGCCAUUCCUCAAUCACAAAUCUUCACCAAUCACCAUCCGCAAUUUCACAGUCGAGAAAAAGUUAGGGUUUUUUUUUCCCUGAGAGAAGCAACGAGAGAUUUUGAAUCAGAAGAGUGGCGUCUGGUUGGGUCGAAGCCGGGACGGGAAAGAGUCGUCUCCGGGAUUUCUUUUCUUCUUUGUUAACGAGUCUUGGAGGAGCGUUACUUCAGAUCACAGAAGAAGAAGACGAACAACAAGUUUCAGAUAUGGCGUCGUCUAGAUUCUCUGAUCUUCCUCAUCAACGUGGAAUCGCAGGUUUUUCUUUCGCGAUCUUUGAUUAGUUGAUCUGUUGUAUACCUUUUUUUAAUUUGAUUUUGGUAAUUGUUUUCUUUGAUUUUAUCUUUGAUUUCUUGAAAAUUAAGUGGGUUCUUGUGGAUUUUGUUUUUUCUUUCGAUUUGAUUGAGAUUGAAAUUAUCUCUUAGAAAUUUGACGCAAUUUUGAUACAAAUUGUUUAAAUUUGUUAUGGAUCUUGAUCGAUUGUUGUGUUGUGUCUUAAAGUUUUGAUUUUCGUAAAUAUCUUGGAAAAUUGAUGCAGUUUUUAUAUGGAAUUUGUACGGAGUGUUCAUGUCUCGAUCUGAUCGGAUGAGACUGCAAGUUUCUGUUAGGUUAAUCACUGAUGGGUUUGUGCUAUAAUUGAAUUUGUUAGGUGAAAUCGUACCGACGAAUGUUGCGGGACAUGGAAGACAAAACCGAAAAGUUCUUGGUGACAUUGGGAAUCUUGUCACUGGCCGUGAUGUUGUAACCAGAAAGGUGAUUUUAAACAUCUCUGACUUCUUUUGUUGAUUAUGUUCUGUUUUCACUCAAAUUUGGAACUCAUUAAAGUAUUUAUCUACUCAGGAUAUUGCGAAGAAGGUGAAACCGCAGACAAAAGCCGAGGUUAUAGUCAUUAGCCCUGACGAAAACGAGAAAAGCUGCAAACCACAUUUCAGCAGAAGAACUCAUAUUCGAGGAACCAAAACUUUUACCGCAACCUUAAGAGCCCGAAGCAAGGUAACUAAAUUACAAAUCUUUUGAUGUGAUUCACCAUGUUUGAUGAUCUAACUCCUCUGUUUCAUUGUCUAACAGGCUGCGAAUGGAAUGAAGGAUGCUGUGAUUGACAUUGAUGCUGCCGAUGCUAACAACGAACUGGCUGCUGUGGAAUAUGUAGAUGACAUCUUCAAGUUUUAUAGGACUGUAGAAGAGGAAGGAGGAAUCAAAGACUAUAUAGGAUCACAGCCUGAGAUAAACGAGAAGAUGAGAUCGAUUCUGAUCGAUUGGCUUGUAGAUGUUCACAGGAAGUUUGAGUUGAUGCCAGAGACGCUUUACCUCACCAUUAACCUUGUUGAUCGGUUUCUAUCUUUGACAAUGGUUCCUAGAAGAGAGCUUCAGCUGUUGGGACUAGGCGCUAUGCUUAUAGCUUGCAAGUAUGAAGAUAUUUGGGCUCCUGAGGUUAAUGAUUUCGUCUGUAUUUCGGACAAUGCCUAUAGCAGGAAACAGGUUUUGGCUAUGGAGAAAUCAAUCUUAGGACAAGUCGAAUGGUACAUCACAGUUCCAACGCCUUAUGUGUUCAUUGUGCGGUAUGUUAAAGCUUCUGUUCCAUGUGACAUUGAGAUGGAGAAACUGGUGUUUUAUCUAGCUGAGCUGGGACUUAUGCAGUAUCCCAUAGUUGUCUUAAACCGUCCAUCGAUGCUGGCUGCAUCAUCGGUUUAUGCUGCGCGUCAAAUCCUUAAGAAGACGCCAUUUUGGACUGAGACUUUGAAACAUCACACUGGCUACUUGGAAGAUGAGAUCAUGUAAGCUAAUCUAACCUAAUCCUUGCUUUAUGUUACAGAUCUUUUUCAUUUUGGUAGUCAUGAAUUGACAAUGGUUUGGUUUGGCUUUUUUCAGGGAACAUGCGAAAAUGCUGAUGAAGUUAAGGGACUCGGCUUCAGAGAGUACGCUAAGUGCAGUGUUUAAGAAAUACUCUGUCUCAGAAAACGCUGAAGUUGCUCUUCUUCCUUCGCUUGACGACUUAUCUGUUUCUUGUGCAUGAAGAAACAAAACCCUAGUCUUCUUUUGUUGAUCAUGUAGCUGUGAUGAUCUCUUUGUGUUCUGCCCUUUUGUUGGUUUGGUUUUGCAUUAGAUCCUCUGUUAGAUCCGUCAAAGAUAAUGAUGUUGACCAUGAACAAGUUUUUUAGUGUGGUUUCAUUUAUCUUCAGUUUCUCUUGGAUUACCUAUUUGCGUUUGAAUUUCUUACUGAUAUAGCUAUUCCUUUUGUCACGUAUAUCUUAUAAUAUUUAAAAUACUUCAGCUUUGUGUUAGCAGAUGUUGAUCAAUGCAAUGUGUUACAAAACUAAGUGAAAGAAGAAGAUCAGUGAAAAAGAUUUCAAUGUAUUAUUAUUAAACAUGAGAAGCAGAAAAUGGGAGCGUUGGUUACGAACCUAAAGACAUAAAGCUUCGUUCAUUGACAAAUCUCAUUGUUAAUUUAAUGAUGUUGAAAUAAAAGAAAAUAACAUAACGAUGAACCUUGAUCAAUCUUUCCCAGUGAAGAUCAAUAGCGGAUAUAGGAAUUUUGUUUACCGGGGUCAUUAUAUAGUUAAAAUUUUAAAUAUUAAUUUGGAAUGCUAUAAACUAAAAUUAUUUAAAGAAAAGAUAAGAAAUGGGUGCAGUUAGGAAUUUUACCUUUUGUUAAUGGGGUCAAACAAAUGGAUUAAACAAAAAAAUCUAACAAAUAUAUUUUGUGGUUGUGGCACCUGAGAAAAUAGUAAAUUUUUUUUACUUUUCCUCAAUGAUGAGGACACUGUCAAAACAUGUUUGGCUCUAAUUACAUCAGCGAUGUUGUUGAAUAGUACUAGGUUUAGCCACUUAAUGCUUUUUCUUCUUACUACUUGUUAAUUGUAAUUCUACAACCACACACUACAUUUAUACUACUUAUCUUAACCUAUUUAUUUACGUGUUUUGUCUUAACAACACAAAAUAACCCAUUUAACAUUUGGGCCCUCAAUUCAACACCAUGGCCCAUUGGCCUUUUUCUUCUUUCUUCUUCUUCUUCCUCCUUCUACGAACACAACACUUUUCUUUGCUUUUUCUUCUUCUUACGAUUCGUCGUCACUCACUCUUCCUUCAACUUCUUCUUCUAAUGUCUUUUGUACAUGUUUAAUCAAAUAUGAAACUCCAACAGAUUUGAGAUGAAUUUUUCCUGGCUAGAAAAUCAUUAGAUGUAAGAAGCAAUCUAACUUGAUGAACAAGAAACAGAAACGGCAGCUCAACACCAGACUUGGUUCCUUGUCUCCAACGGCUAGUAAAAAAAAUUACAUUUUUAUGACCAUCAUUUGUUUCUAAAAUUAAAAGUUAAAUCAACGGUUAGAAGUUUCGGUUUGUAAAAUAACAUGACCGUUAGAGAGAGCUAAGAAUUUUCAUUAAAACAUUAUAUACCCUUCUUCAACCACAAAUCUUCACCAUUCGCAAUUUACACUCAGAAAAUUAGGGUUUUUCUUUUGAGAGAAGCAAAGAGACUUUGAAAUCUGAAGAGAGAGUGAUUCAGAGUUAUUGGGUCAUCUCCGGUGUAUCUUUUCAUCUCUGUUAACGAGUAUUGGAGGAGCGUUACUUCAGAUCACCGAAGAAAAAGAAGAACAACAAGGUUUAGAUAUUAUGGCGUCUAUAGUGUCUGAUCAACGUGGAAUCACAGGUUUUUGCUUCUGAUUUCUCCUUAUAAACUCAUGAUCUUGAUCAAUUGAUCUGUUUUAAACUCAUGAUUUUUUUUCCUUCUUUUGAUUAUCUCUGUUUUAACGAGUCUUGGAGGAGCGUUACUUCAGAUCACAGAAGAAGAAGAAGAAUGACAACAAAACAAGGUUUAGAUAUAUGGCGUUUUAGAGUCUCUAAUCAACGUGGAAUCGCAGGUUUUUGUUUCUAAUUUCUCCUUAUAAACUCAUGAUUUGUCACUAAUCAAUUGAUUUGUUUUACCUUUUAAUUUGAUUUUGUUAUAUGUUUCCAAUGAAAUCGGAAGUGUAAUUUGCGUCUGAUUUUGUCAUCUCCGGGAUUUCUUUUCAUCACUGUUAACGAGUAUUGGAGGAGCAGAUAUAAUGGCGUCUAGAGUCUCUGAUCAACGUGGAAUCGCAGGUUUUUGAUUCUCGAUCUCUGAUUUGAUGUUGGUAAUUGUUUUUUUUUGAUUCUAUGUUUGAUUUCUGGCAACUGAGUGGCUUCUUGUGGAAUUUUGUUCUAAUAUGAUUGAGAAUUUGAGAUUGAAAUUAUCUCUUAGAAACUUGACGCAAUUUUGAUACAAAUUGUUUAAAUUUGUUAUGGGUCUUGAUUGAUUGAUCGGUUGUAUCUUAAAUUUUGAUUUUGGUUAAUAUUUCCAAUGUUUACUUUGAUUUUCUCCAACGAUUUUAUGGUUCUUGAGUUUUUUUCUUUGAUUAAUUUCUGUUUUUUUUUCCAAUUGUUUUUAAUUUGAUUCUGGAAUUGUUUUCUUUGAAUUUCUUUUUUUUUUUUUUUUUUUUUUUUUUUUUUUUGUAAACAUUCUUUGAAUUUAUUUUAUCUUUGAUUUCUUGCAAUUGCAUUGGUCUUGUGGAUGUUUUUUUUAUUGGUUUGAUUGAUAUUGAAAUAUCUUUUAGAGACUUGACCCACUUUAGAUACAAACUAGAUUCGGACCCACACGAACGUGCGGGGUUAUGUUUGUAAAAAGAUUUUUUUUGUAUGGCAUUCAUAAUCCCAACUCAUAUCAGUUUGGUUUCAAUUUAGUUUAGAAAAAAAAUUAAUCCGAUUUGUUCUUGGUAUUAGUAAAGACCCUUGUUCAAAAACGCCGCCCAGGCGGCCGAUUACGCGGCGGCUAGUCGCUCGGCGGCAAGGAACCGCCGGGAUUAGGCUAAAAUCGGAUCAAAAAUCAGAAGUUUUUAAAAAAACUUGAUUUUUUUGUUCUUUUAAAGGAUGAAAAUGAUAGAUACUUGAUGGAUCUACCAAUAAAUAGCAAGAAAACCAAAAAAUGAUGAAAAGUGAGGAAAAAUACAGUGACGGUGGAUUAGGGUUAGAGAUCUCUCAUUUUCAAGAGGUAGAAGACGAGGGUAUUUUGGUAAUUUAAUACCAAUUAAACCUAAAAUGAACAAAAUAGAAAAAAUGUCGCUAGAGUUGCUCGAACUCCCCACCCAUAUUAACGGAAACGUCCUUAAAACCACUGGACCAACUUGCGCUUUUGAUUUUAUUUCCACACGAAUAAUAUAUAUACAAUAUAUAAGUAAAAAAUAUAAUAAACUAAUCCCGAUUAAUCCCCGUUUAAUCUCCGAUUUUUUGGCUAGGCGCUAGGCCCGGCUCGAACGCCCGACUAACGCCUAGCGAUUUUUUAAACAUGGGUAAAGACAACUAAAAAAUAUAGGAAAUAAGAGAAUAUAAGCAUAUCGAUUUUGGGACAGAGAACCAAUCCUAUCACAUAUCUACCAGGAAUUUUUCAUCACAUAAUUGUUUCUUUUAAAAUAAUUUACUUGUUUUAUAAAAAUUAAAUACCUAAACAAAAAAAAACAGGAAAUACGGAUAUUCCAACCAAAUCCUAGACCUAUUUCCUUAUCAGUUGGACUAAAAUAUACAAUUUUUUUUUUUAUCAACCACAUAUUAAAUUAUGGAGUUAUUUUUUAAAUUAAUGUGUGGUUGAUAAAAAAAAUUGUAUAUUUUAGUCCAACCGAAGGAAAUAGGUCUAGGAUUUGGACGGAAUAUCCGUAUUUCAUGUAUUUUUUGUUUAGGUAUUUAAUUUUUACAAAAUUAGUGGAAAUGAUCCAUAUUUUCUUAAUAUUUCUCAAUAUUUCACUAUUAUGUUUUAAAAAAUAUCUAUGCUAUGCUAAAUAAAUUGAAAGAAACAUUUUAAACACAUGAUUGCAAGCAAUGCAUGUUUAAAGACAUUUUUAAAGGUAUUUCCAUCCUUACCCGUUCAAUCUCGAUCCUGUUUUGAAAUUUAAAUAGGACAUAAAUAAUCAUAUUUUUAUAUUCCUAAAAUUUCCGCUCCGUAGAAUUUCGUUCCGAAUUGCAUUAAACAUCCACACAAUCGAGCAUAUAACUUUUGAUAGUACAAAUAUGGAAUGUUGAUUUGCAGCCAUGGGGGACUUUGGAGAAUAAGAAUUUCAUGUUCGAAUUCUACUGCAAGCAUUUGAACUUCAUUUAUCUCUCUUAAGCGUAAACAUCUUCUCUUUCAACUCAUCUUAACUCAUUUUGGACCGUUACAUAUAUUCAAAAAUAAAAACACACGUACUUUGAUAAGUAUGAUAAAUGUUUUUUCUACAACUUUUGCUACUUCAAUGAGUGUUUUUUCUGUAAAAUUAUAUAGUCAACACAUGUAAUUGUGUCAAAUUUUGUUAGAAAUUUAAUAUGCUGACUCUUCGCAAGAACAACAACACAUUCUUGAUUUCUUUCUCUGUAAAAAAAUUAAUAUGUUUCUUUCAAUUUAUCUGAAUUAGCAUGUUACUAUGAAUUAGUUUAUAUGUUGUAUAUAUGUAUAUGUUAGAACAAAAAAAAAAUACACGAAUAAUACAACACAAUCCGAGAACUAAACACAUAAAAUCCAAACCACACGAAUUCAAUUUCACUUGCAGUAGAUGGCCGAGAUCUGUAACACCACUAACACCUAGUACAAUAAUCGGGUCAUAAUACCAAAAAGAUUAAAGAAACCAAAUUACACAAAAAAUACCACCUGACGGAAUGGAGCCAAGUUUCUCCCAUCUAGCAACAAUUUAUCUCAGCCAACUUGUUUUCCUUUCCUGCAAAAGAAACUCCAAUCAUCGAUCUAUUAGAUUGUUCUACACCAAAUCUGUUCUUAGAAUUGCACACCAAAGAAUCCAAACAUUUGAAAAAUGUGUGUCAAGGGGCCUUUGUCUUCAGAAAACAUAUCACAGUGAAAGGUGUUUACCAGCCAAAUUGAAAAACAAAAGACUACAUUCAGAUUUGUAAUAUUUUGACUGUCUCCCAAUUAUUUUUGUAUACGUUCAGAUUUGUAUCCAAGUCAAACACAAUCUGUCAAAAAAUCAAGACAAAAGAAAAAAUUAUUGGUCUUGAUAUAAAAAAAAACAACAGAUUCACAUAUGAACAACUCAUUGCUAUUAAAGAAGAAGAUUCAAGAAAUUUUACCAUGUGUUUCAUUGAAGUACCUUUUAUGAAACACGUAUAUCCUGUUUGAAACCAAGAUUUGCAGCCAUUGUUUAAACUUAAGUAUAAAAUAUCAAUAAAAAUAGAAAAUUUUGAAUGAUUAGUAAAUAGUAAAAAAUCGACUUCUAUAUUUAUAGGAUAAAGCAAGCUGGCUUCAAUAUUUAGGGUUUACAUUGUUAUAAUCUUAACAAUAUAUUUGCAAAUCAAAAUAUUAAAUAUAGGUGGCGAAAAAAAGAGAGUAUUAAAUAUAGAUUCGAGGUAUAUGCUUGAUUUCAAAAAUAAAUUAAAAUCUAUAACUAAAAUUAUAUUUGGCAAGUAAUAACUGUUGUGAUAUGAUUUCUUGAACUAAUUUAAAAUUUGAUUUAAUAUUUCGUAAACAGUUGCAUUUCCAUUAUUAUUAUUUCGAAUUUAAUAUAUUCGAUUGUUGAUGUCAAAAAAAAAAAAUAGUCUAUUGUUAAGGAAACCUUAUUAAAUCAUAACAAUAAAUUUAGUGUGUUUUCUAAUUUUGGAUAGAAUAUACGUGGAAAUCUUUCUGAAUAUCUUUACUGUUAGUGCUCCAACAAAAUGAAUAUUUAUAUUGUUGUUUUUUUCCCUUCUUUUAUUUUUUUUAAUUGAAUAAUCCUAAUGGCAUUCCAUGUAAUAUUCUACAACUUAAAGGUUUUUUAAUAUCUAGUGAUUCCAAAUUAAUAAUAUAGAUUGUUACAAUUUGUUAUGGAUCUUGAUCGAUUGAUCUUUUGUAUCUUGAAAUUUUGUUUUUUGAUAAAUAUUUCCAUUGUCUUGGAAAGGACCUCCCUAUUUAUAGGGAAAGGGUAGUCGGGUAUCGAGAUAAGGUCUAUAUCCUCAAAUCUCGGGCUUGAAUUUUCAAAUUGCCUAUAUCUUCAGAUUUUCUUUUUUUGUUCGGGAAAAGGAACAAUUCCAUUUUAUCUUAGGAGGUCGGCAAGAGCUUCCCGGGCACUCAUGGGCCGAUUAUCGGUUUGGUAGAAUUAUUCUGGUUUAAGUCGGGUUUGUUGUGGGUAAAUUCCGCACCAACAAUUAGUCCCCCUCAGUUCGGUGAAUGAGAAUGCGAAUAAUGCGAAUUAGAAGAAAAAGUAGCCCGUCUUGAAUCAAGAAUAAUCAGAAAUUGCGAGCAAAGUUUAGGUGAUGAGCUGCGAUGUUUUGACGAGCGGCGAUGUUUGGACGAGCUGCUAGGUAGGAACAUGAAGUAUUUAACGAGUUGUGAGUUAGGCAAUCUGAUGAGCUUUGAUAUAUGCAGACUGACGAGCUGCGACAUUUGAGCUGCAAGGUAAGAGCUACAAAUUAUGCGAAUAAUGCGAAUUAGAAGAAAAAUUAGCUCGUUUUGAAUCAAGAAUGAUCAGAAAUUGCGAGCGAAGUUUAGGGGAUGAGCUGCGAUGUUUUGACUAACUCCUAGGUCGGCAACAUGAAGUAUUUGACGAGCUGCUGAGCUGUGAGUUAGGCAAUUUGAUGAGCUUUGAGAUAUGCAAGCGGACGAGCUGCGACAUUUGAGCUGCGAGGUAAGAGCUACAAAUUAUGAGCUGAAGAGCUGCGAAGCAUGAUGAUAUGACUAUGCUCGACCAAGAUCCGAAACUCGAACCAGCGGAACACCUCGUAGCCGAGGAGCAGCGUGUAGCGGAGGAAGUUACCAGAUGAUUUGACUGACAAGCUACGAGAUGACCUGCCAGAUGAUCUGGCUAAUGAGCCGCGAGAUGAGCUGCCAAAUGGGCAGAUUGGCGACGACCUGUCAUGAUAACUUGGAUUGGCUGAAUAUGUGAGUUUUGACUUUAUCUUUUGUAGUUAGGUGCGAGGCAAUCUCGGCUUAUCCUAUUACAAUGACUUAGUGCAAGAUGCGAUCUCAACUUUUUUGCAAAAGAUUUAUUCGUGUAAUUGUGAGCGUUGAGGUCGGCUUAACUAUGAGAAGUGUUCUUAGCUUUUGAAUGUAGCUAGAUGCUAGGCGAACUAGGCUUUUUGAGUCGGAAGUUAGUAUUGAGCAUAGUGUAAAGCUCAGUUUUGACAAUCGACAAAUGUGAAGAUUAAAUUGUGGAUGCCGGAUUUACACACUUAAUUAUUUAUUUAUUUAGUGAGAAAGACUAUUCUUGAGGACAAAAAUCAAUGUAAAGAAAUUGUGAAUUUGAUAUGGAAAUGGCUAUAGUGUAUUUGCUCGAAAAAAUUGUGUGCCCCUUACAUGGCCCUUGGCCCUCUUACUUAUACUCACAAACAACAUUUAACUCCCAAUUAAAUACAAUUAUUCUCUCUUAAAUGUGUCUGUUACAGUCUUUGUGUUUAAUGCUCAAACGUUCAAAUUUGAAUUGAUUCCGAUCUUCAUGGGCCUCACCUUUCAGCCCAAAUAUUCUCGAACCGAACUAUCCGUGGCUCCGAAUCCGUUCUCACCUCACGGUGUGAACACUUCGCUCGUAUCUUCCUUUUGAUUUGAGGGUCUUACGGGUCUUUUCUCUUCGUGGGCUUCCCGUCUGCUUAUGUGACAAUCUUUGGUUGGUCCCGGACUACUGGUGCGAGAUCCGACACCAACAAUUAGCCCCCCAAGUCUUUCGUAGUGCCAUUUCAAUUCGGAGGACUUUAAUGCUUUAAUGGCCAAAGAUUGCGCUUGAGAAUUUUCUGAUUUCCCGCCAAGAUACCAUCAAUCCUUUAAUCUCGGCGCUAUCCAUAUUUACUAGCAUGACAUAUGUCACCUAUUAUGAUCAUAUCUUAAUUUUUUACUAUUAAAACGGGAAAAAUCUCUCCACUUCCCCAACGACUCCCAAGGCAGUUCCAUCAUUACCACUUAGCUUGCGUGAGGUAACCUUCUUUUUAUUUUUACUUUUACUUUUGUCCUUUCAGAUUAAAAGUUCUCUCUGCUCUUCUCGUCAAGUUCCUUUGCUUCUUUCGCCAAAUUUCUUUUCCCAAACCUUGAAUUUUCCAUCUUUCUCGAUGAAUUCUGAUUCCGAUAGACCCGAGUCUCCGUCCUUCGACAAGAGACGUUCUAGUAAUGACGAAUGCACCCUCCCUAACGAUAUCGCUGGUCCGCAUUACAGAUCCACAUGUACUCUUCGAUCCCUCGAGCGAUUGAAGGAGCUUUGCCAGAUUCCACCUGGAAUCAUGGCGGAAGCGCAAAUAGCCGAUCCUACGGAGUCCCCGGAAAACCACCGCGACGGCUACUUAUGUGUAUACGAGAUUUAUUUCAAGGGCUGCGGAUUAACCUUCCCCCUUCCCGAAGCCCUAGUUCAAUACCUAGCGGCUCUUGAGAUUGCUCUACCUCAAUUAACCCCCAAUCUUCUUCGCACCAUCCUCAGGAUUAUAACCGUUGCGGUGGAGGCCGGAUAUAUUAUCGGAUUCCCCGAGUUGAACGAGCUUCUAAGCGUGAGAAGUUCAUCGAAGAAAACGGGGUAUUUCUCAGCGUAUCUGAACGCCAACAGAAACAUCAUCUCGCACCUCCCGAACAAGGAUGAAAACUGGCACCAUCCUUGGUUCCUGAUUAAGAAAACUCCUGCUUCGAUUGGAAAUCUUUCCGAUAUACUCCCAUCGAAGUGGUCUGCGAAGCCUGGUAGAAAUUAGGUUGCAUAUACCUUUCCCGGUUGUUUUAUUAUUUUUACUGACUAAACUCGUUGUUUCACUUCGAAGCUUUCAUCGCUCCGACUCUCCCGUCUAAAGAAUUCAUCGGAUUCAUCAGAUUCUUCAAAAUAAUUCUUGAAGGGGAAACCCUUUGGAAUUCUUUCACCCUUGAUCGGUUCAUAGAAGCCAAUCGAAAACUCAGGAUGAGCCCUCCCGAUUAACUUCAUCGUCUUCCGCCUCCUCCCUCAACUCAAGGAAUGUCAGCUUGGGCCCUCACUGCCCAGCGCAAGAUGCUCUCCAAGCCGAUAACUUAGGCUUGCGAGGAGAACAAGGCGUUCCUUGCGACCGCCAUUGACAAAAAAGACUAUAGUAGGACCUUGCUGGUUGACGUUAGUAGCGCCGAAGGAGCCAGAUCCGUCUCUGCUUUCAGAUUAACACCUCGUCGUGAACGUCGUGAUGAUCGUUCUCCUCGGAGGGCCCGAUCUCCUUAUCGUGACUCUCCUCGUCCUCCCCGAGAUGAUUUCAGCAACGAACCGCUUAAGAAUUUGAUUCGCAAGAAGAGAGACAUGCCAUCUCGCAGUGGUUCCUCUCCGCGGAGGGAGAAGUCAAGGGCCUGGACUGAUCGUUCUCCUCAAUCGUCCCCUCCUACUGAACCAAUGGGUUCUCCUCCUCCUGUUGACAUGUCUUCCUCUUCCCAACACAGUGGCGAGAAGACUGUCCGGAGCGCGUCUCCUAAAAAGGGGGGUACUGAGCCUCGAGAACCUCCCCCAAAGUCGAAGGUUGUACUCGUCCCUCAGAGCAAAUCUCUUUCAGGUCUGAUAAUGAUUUAUGCACACUUUAAAAUUUUUUAUCCUGUUCAGAUUCUAAAUUCUACAACUCUUCCUCUUCUGCCUUCACAGCUAUGGAGAAAGAGGGUAGCGUCUUCCGAUGCUUCAAAACCCGAUCCAAUAGCGUUAACGGGAUCUUGCUUGUGUAAGCCACAACUGGGGUCUGACCUAACGCCGAACCACGGUAUCUUACAUUAGAAAAAGUGGCUCUCGCAAUCAUAAUAGUAGCUCGCAAGCUCUGACCUUCCAAUCAUAUUCUGUUGUCGUGUAUAUGGACCAGCCACUCCGAACUAUUCUCCAUAGUCCGAACUAGUUUGGAAGAAUGGCUAAAUGGGUAAUCAAGCUCGGUGAAUACGUUAUCAAGUAUCAUGCCAGACCUAGCAUGAAGUCAUAAGUCCUAGCCUACUUUAUAGCCGAGUUAUCCCUUGAACUCCUUGAUAACAGUCCAGACAACAGUAACUGGAUACUUGAUGUAGACGGGUCUGCAUCUCAACCCCGGUUCGGCUUGAGAGUCUUACUAUAAUCUCCAAUGGGAGAAAUACUUGAGCAAUCGUUUCGACUUGGUUUCAAAGCCUCAAAAAACGAGGCUGAGUACGAGGCACUGCUAGCUAGGUUGCGACUAGCCAGAGGAAUCAAAGUUGAUCACAUUAAAGCUUAUUCUGAUUCCCAACUCGUGGUUAACCAGUUCAGCGGUGAGUUUAAGCCAAAAACGAACGAUGGACGCCUACCUGCAGUUCGUCAAGAAAAUAUCAAAGCAGUUUAAGAGUUUCAGGCUCAUAAAGAUCCCACCAAGCGAUAGUGCAUCUGUCAACACCCUUGCUGCGUUAGUGUAUGUUUUGUUUGUUUGGAAUUUGGAUCAACCAAUGUGGAACUUCGAGUAACCAUCCUUGUGAAAGACAUAGCAAUGCCUAGCAUCGAUCUGAGCAACCCGACCUACAUCAUCAAUGAUGUACCAGUUGCAAUGGAGAUCAGAGAUGAUCCCGACGACCAAGCGAAUGUUAAGGUCGAUCUAGAACCAGUUGAUUGGAGAGACGAAAUUAAACUAUAUAUUGCAGACGACAAAGUACCAACUGGUGUUGGUAAGCUAAACGAUUAAAAGAAGUGCGAAUUAUGUCCUUGACGGAGAUACACUUUAUCGCAGAAGUUCGACCGGUGUUCUUUUCGCAUGUGUCGAUCGCACAGAGGCUAAUCAGAUUAUGCAAGAAACGCACAAAGGCGAAUGGGGAAACCAUUCAGGAGGUCGUGCCUUGGCCCUCAAAAUAAAAACGGAUGGACAUUACUAACCUACUAUGGUCACCGAUUAUUAAGUCUUCGUUGCAAAGUGUGAACCGUGUCAGCGCCAUGGCCCCAUGAUUCACAUAUCUCCCGAACGGUGACAAUUACAUUGGACGACGCCAAGACGAGCUACUGGCCAAUCACCUUUCUCCUUUGCAUAUGGCAUUGAAGCCAUGGCCACUACUAAGGCAAGUGUCCCAACAAUUCUGCGUUGCAUGAUGACUAAUCACCCCGAGCUCAACGACGAGAUGAUGUAUGAUCACAUCGAUAUAUGGGAAGAACUACGCGAUCAGGCCUUUGUAUGAAUACAAAACUACCAGACUGCGUCACCUUGCCACUAAAACAAAACUGUUAGAGAACGACGCUUCAAUGAAGACGUCCUCAUUCUCCGCAAAGUCUUCAAGAAUACCAAGGAACACCGAGCAGAAAAAUUCGGUGAACAUUAGGAAGGACCUUACUUGAUCUCUAAAGCAUUUCGCCUUGGAGUAUAUGAACUCAUGACAAUGGAUUGCAAUGAGGUCGAACAAUCCUGGAAUGCUUCUAACGUGAAAUGGUAUUACUACUAAGUCGCUCUACGAGCCAAAAAAGAAAAUGCUCUACGAGCCAAAAAAAGAAAAAGAAAAAGAGACACGAGCUCGAUAUUCUGACCUCUCCAUUGUAAUUUGAACUACGAAUGGCUAGAUGCCUACACAGAGCACAUAAGCAUUCCUUCAACGGAUGCAACUAUAUUUCUUAAUAAAAAUUAAAGUUUGCAUUUUUAAGUCUGACCUGAAAAGGAAAACACGGUCAUGAGAAGAAGAAUUUUUUUUGUUUAGUGGACGAAAGAAAAAGUGGUUCAGUAACAUACCAUGUUAACAAACUCUUGGGCUUCGACAGAAUUAGUUUCGUUAGCAGACUAUCCUAAGUAAAAUGGUUUCACCGAUCCCGUGGUAAAAUUCUCGCAAGGAACAACCAAAGGGUCUUCUCAUUGAAUUCAGGGCUAACAUCCCUUUCACAACCGUCGCAAUUCCGCUAUCCUAUGAAAACCAUUCUUGAUCCAAUCCCUAGGAUGUGAUUCAAGAAAAUUUAUCUUGUGAGUCAAGUUCGAUCUAUGUUCAUCGAUUAUAGCCAGCCGCUUCCUGUAUUCUUCAUGUUUGUCUUCAACAAGAGACAAAAACUCCUCUGCUAGGAGACGUUCUUCUUAGCUGAUUCAGAAUAAAAGUGUCCAAGGAACCCUUAGGUUGUCAAAGUAGGGCAUCCCUCUCUUCGAUGCUUCCGUGAUGGUAAACGUCGAAAGAUUCAUACUAUCCUCAAUCGUUCUACGCGUAGGUGGGAAAGGAACAUGGCAAGAACCAGAGCACUCCAUUGUUAAAAAAAAGUAAAGGUAAACUCGAAUGAGCAAAGAUAUAUCUCUAAGAAACGAGCCCGGGUAUCUUUAUAGGAAUUCCGGUCUCGGAUUUCGUUUUCCAAAUGGAAAAUGAUUUGUUCGAUUUCUCCUUUUCUAUACGAAGGAUUUUUCCAUUUUUAAAUGGAAACAGAUUAACCAAAAUUUCUUUUUUAAAUUAAAAAAGAAAUAAACCAAAUUUCCAAAAGCAAAAAUAAAAAGAAAAUUAAAACGCAGUGUAAAUUAACAGGCCCGAGGCUCGGUGGAUUAGGUUCAAGAUUACAUCAUAUAAAAAGAGAGCAAUAAGAUGAAAGAAUGGAAAGGUAGCUUGGGUCCAGGCUUAGGCCCCUGGAUGGUUCCUUUCAUCCUCGCCAAGGGUUGUAUGAAUAUCAGUUUGAUAGAAGGGGGCGUUGGAGCCAUGACGAUCGCCGACAGAAGCUUGAGUCUAGGUGUCUAAUCUAAAAAAACUAAAACCGGGUUAAUCCGACGAUAUACUGAUAUCUGCAUCCCUCAAAUCCAUGACGUCGAGGGCAUCCACUUUAGCAUCUUAAUGUUUGACAUUUCUUCCUUCGAGAUAAUGGCGCCUCUUUCGAUAAACGCCUUAAGAGACUCCUCCAUUCCCUGAGCUUGGUUGAGCAAGUCCAUAUUUGGGCGAAUAACCUUCAUUUGUUCCUCAAGGUACGUCUUCACCUUGUCCAGACGAGCAUGCGCUUUCGUCGCGGUGCGCUCAACCCUCGUAUCCCUAUCCCGAUGAAGUCUGGAUCCUUCUGAUUCAGCCUAGGCCUUCGAAGCUUUGCACUCCUUUUGCAGUCUCUUCACCUCCUCCUUAAAACUUGACUCGCGAGACAAUAGGUCGGCAACGGUUUAAUUCAGAGAAGCGACAAUGACCUUCCAUUCCUCAUCAGCCUCCUCCUGAUCUCUAAUCUUCUUCUUCAUCGCCCGUACUACGACCCUAGCAUAUCCGAUGCAUUCCUCCAUCAUCUUCAAUGGGUGAUCGGCUUUAGUUCAAGAUUUUUUCCUUCGAUCGUAUUUCAACACGUGCGCGUUGGCAUAAGCAGUGGUUUAUAACAAGAAGAGAAGAGUGUGAAACACGAUCCAAUAAAAGGAGAACGGAAACGAGGACGAACUCCUACAUGCAGGAAGGACUGCACGAACUUCAGGUAGUCCUCUUCAAACUCCAAUCAGUGGGAUCCAGGAGAAUCUUAGAGGAAAUCUUUAAAUUCCUACAUAGCUGACCAGACACCUCCAGGUCUUUCACAAGGGAUCCCUCCCCGAUAUACUCAUAGCCAAACAUCUCAAAAUGGUUGGACUCAUCGCGAGUUAAGCAAAAAGACUUUUGUUGGAAACCCAGCGUGAAGGCCAGCUUCCUCAGAAGGUCGUUUCCGACCUCGAUUACCUCCGGUCUCUAAAACCGGAUAUUUUCCCUUGUUCGUCUUCUUCUUCGAUCUUUCUACCACAUCGACCUACUCUGUUCCGACAUGAUCAGUCUGUACUUGCUCGACCUCAACUUGUUCGUCGUUCACCCUUUCUAGAUUUUUCUGAACGUUCGCAGAAGCGACUGAUUCAUUUGGUUCAAAAUUCGGAAGCGAGUCGGGAACAGUUAGGUCUCCUCCGACCCUCUCUUUGUGAUAAAAAAGAGAAGUAAUGUCUUUGAUAAAAACACCUCGAGGGAUGGAAUUCUUCUCCAUUUCAUCCUCGUCGGGUUAAAACUCAUCCAUUGAGUACUCAAUCAAUGCCUCGAACCGAUCAAGAUCGUCUUCUUCAACAGGGAGAUCGGCUGGAUUGAGUGGAUUUCCUUCUCCAUCCACGUUGUUCCGACUAGAGUCAGAGUCAUCCUCCAGAUUUCAUUGAAGAUUGUUCGAAAAACUCGAAUGAAAACGGCGAAGAUUAAAAACACGGAAAAGAGAGAGAAGAGAGCAAAAACUACAUUUCUUUUAUGCGGUUGAAAGUGAAAAAUGAAGAGAAAAACCGAGUAUUUAUAGAGAAAAAGUGGGGGGGGGGGGGGCUGACCUUCAAAAGGUCAUCAUUAUACCUAGGCGACGUUUCAACUUCCGACCUACAUGUCAUCAUUCAAUACCCGAUUUCUGGCAUGUGUCCGAACGGAUAAGCGUGUUCAUUAAGUUUAAAGAUUACAUUCAAAUUUGCAUCUUCCUAAAUAUAAGCCGAAUAUUCUCUCUUAUAGUUCGGAAAACUCAAAUUAAAGUUUGAAUUCUCCAAACUAGGAGGACUAAUUGUUGGUGCGGGAAUUAGCACCUACAACAAUACCGGCCUAAACCUAGGAGGAUUCGAAUCAAUUGAGCAAUUCAAUUAAACCGAGAAAACCCGGUUUACCUGUUAAUGGGCCAUUGGGCUCGAAGCCCAUGGAGGUCGCCAGCCGACCUCCCUUAAAUCAAAGGAAAGGUUGUUACCGACCUUCCAAAAGAGAAAACCGGGAAAAUUCCCUUUAAUAAAAUGUCAAGAUCUGAAGAUAAGGAAGGCUUGAAGAUUCAAGCCCUAGAUUUAAGAAAAUUUAGCUUUAUCUUAAAGAGGUCUCCCGAGUAUAAAUAGAGGGGUUUAUCCUCUAUGCGGGGAUCCGUAAUUUUGCACACAUAAACCCAGCUUCUUCAUUGUUCGUGAGCAAAACCUAACUUGUUCUCAAAGCAAUCUUAAAUCUCUUUGUAAUCGAGUCUUUGAUCGAGUUCUUAGUAAAGAGAGUUAAACAAAUUUGUUUUCCUCUUUAAACAAAUUUCUUGUGUGAAUUCUAGAUUCAACAAUAUUUAUCUACUCAGGAUGUUGCGAAGAAGGCGAAAUAGCAGCAUAAAUAGAGGGGUUUAUCCUCUAUGCGGGGGAUCCGCGAUUUUGCACAUAUAAACCCUAGCUUCUUCAUUGUUUGUGAGCAAAACCUAACUUGUUCUCAAAGCAAUCUCAAAUCUCUUUGUAAUCGAGUCUUUGAUCGAACGAGUUCUUAAUAAAGAGAGUUAAUCGAAUUUGUUUUCCUCUUUAAACAAAUUUAUUGUGUGAAUUCUAGAUUCAACAAUAUUUAUCUACUGAGGAUGUUGCGAAGAAGGCGAAACCGCAGUCAAAACCCGAGGUUAUUACCAUUAGCCCUGACGAAAAUGAGAAAAGCUGCAAACCACGCACAUUUCAGCAGAAGAACUCGUGGAACCAAGACUUUUACCACAACGCUAAUAGUUGGAAGCAAGGUAACUAAAUUUCAAAUCUUUUGAUGAGAUUAACCAUGUUUGAAGAUCUAACUUCUCUUUUUUUAUUGUCUAAUAGGCUGCAAGCGGACCGAAAGAAGGUGUGAUCGACAUUGAUGAAUAAGUAGAUGAAAUCUUCAAGUACUAUAGGACUGUAGAAGAGGAAGGAGGAAUCAAAGACUAUAUUGGAUCACAACCUGAGAUAAAUGAGAAGAUGAGAUCGAUUCUGAUCGAUUUGCUUGUAGAUGUUCACAGGAAGUUUGAGUUAAUGCCAGAGACACUUUACGUCACCAUUAACCUCGUUGAUCGGUUUCUAUCUUUGACAAUGGUUCAUAGGAGAUAGCUUCAGCUGUUGGGACUAGUCGCUAUGCUUAUAGCUUGCAAGUAUGAAGAGACAAUGCCUAUAGCAGGAAACAGGUCUUGGCUAUGGAGAAAUCGAUCUUAGGACAAGUCGAAUGGUAUAUCACGGUUCCAACUCCUUAUGUGUGCCUUGCGCGCCAUGUCAAAGCUUCGGUUCCAUGUGACAUUGAGAUGGAGAAACUGGUGUUUUAUCUAGCCGAGCUAGGACUUAUGCAGUAUCCUAUAGUUGUCUUAAACCGUCCAUCGAAUCUGGCUACAUCAGCUGUUUAUGUUGCGCGUCAAAUCCUUAAGAAGACGCCAUUUUGGACUGAGACUUUGAAACAUCACAUUGGCUACUUACAAACCAAGAUCAGAUAAUGUAAGCUAAAAUCUAAUCCUCACUUUAUGUAUUUAUCUAUUUCAUUUUUGCAAUCCUCGUUUGGUUUGGUUUUUUAGGGAACAUGCGAAAAUGCUGAUGAAGUUAAGGGACUUGGCUUCAGAGAGUAACCUAAUAGCAGUGUUCAAUAAAUACUCUUAAUCUCAAAAAACGCUGAAGUUGCUCUUCUUCCUUCGCUUGACGACUUAUCUGUUUCUUGUUCACGAAGUUACAAAACCCUAGUCUUCUUUUGUUGAUCAUGUAGUUGUGAUGAUCUCUCUUUGUGUUCUUCCUUUUUAUCUGGUUUGGUUUUAACAUUGGAAUCUCCAUGAGAUCCGUCAGAGAGAAUGAUGAUCAUGGACAAGUCUUUUUGUGUUUUUUUCUUUUAUCUUCAAUUUCUAUUGGAUACUUCUGAUAGUGUUAACUAAUCCUUUUUGUCACAUUUCUUAGUGUUAAGACCGUUCCAAACAUUGUUUAAACGUAUAAUAUUGAGAAGCAGAUUUCUAAGUGUAAUCAAAUUUAAGUUCGUCAAAAUCAACAAAAAAGAUUUCCAUUUAUUAACAUGAGAAGCAGACUUUCUCCUAGGUCACAAAUGGAAAUGGAAGCUUUGGAUAAGACUCCCAAAACCAGAAAUCGAGCUUUGUUUAUGAGCGAAUCUCGAAACCAGAAAAUUUCUUAUUAGUACCGAUCUUCGCCAUUUUUUUCGGGUUUUUGCAGGAUUUUAGCUGCUAGAGAGUUUGCUUUAUUGAUGAAUCACUUGCAUCAAUCCACAACAAGCCAUCCGUUAUACUCCUCAAGGGCAAGUAAGAUCAAAACAAAUGAAUAAACACAAGCCACCCGUUACAUAUACAUUCACCAUCACCUCUUACACUGAUUCCAUAAUUUUACACACAAACAGAAGUACAAUUCAAACAAUUUUCUAAACCCUAUUAUAUAAACUACAAAACAAAAAAAAAAAAGCUCUUACGGAUACUAAAAUCACAACUUAGUUAAGAGCCAUUCUUCAAGGGCUUUGACCCGUCUCUGUUCUGUCGUCUGGACCAGCAAGCGUCACCUGCAACACAUCAGUUUCAUACUUACAUCAACACCUCUUUCUACAAAAACCAUAGUUUCUAACUCCAUCUUUGUUAUACUUACAUUACAAUCACAAGCGAAUCUUCGUGCAAGCAUGAUCGCAGCGUUUCUUUCUCUCUCAGACUCAAAAGCUAUCACAAAGGAUACUCCUUUCUUUGCCUGCCAAUACAAUGCCUGAGCUGCAGCAUUUCCACCUCCUCUCACUCCACAUAGCUACUCAAUAUGAUCAUCAAAGAUUAUGAUUUAAAGGUCUCUCCGCGUAACACUAAAAAGAUGAAGCUUUCUCGAGGAAAAAGGAGUCGCUUACCUGCAUCGCACUAGAGUAGUACUCUUUCGCAAUGACUGUCUUUCCCUUGCAAAGCUUUAUCCUCAUUUUACCAACGUGAAACAGGUGGAUCGAUUCUGAUGUAUGGUCUUCCCCACUCAUUUGGGUCACAACUACCUGUCAAUUACAAUAAGGGGAACUAUAAUAUACAAACAAGCAUGUGCCGGAUAUAAAACUAAUGAUUCCGAGCCAUCCCUACAUAUGGUAUGCAUAUAUAAUUAGCCUUAGAGAAACGUUACAUUGAAAUCAACAUCGUGUUUCCGUACUAAUGCCUCCACGUAGCUACCUAAUCCAGCAGCUGCAUCAAAUCAGACUUUUUAACACAACCUACACAAUGAUGAUGUUGACAUAAACAAGAACAAUUUCAAGUAAAUAACAUAACAAUGAACCUGGAUCAAUCUUUCCAACAGUGGAUAACGAAAGCAAACGGCCAUCGUAAGUAAUAUCUGCGUGUAAGACUCGUCCAACGUCAAAUGGCUCGGGAGCGUAAACUGAUUUUGUGGCACCUGAGAUAGGAAUAUAGUUAGAAAACCUUUUUCCUCAAUGAGGAAAACAAUCUCCAACUUGAUUUGGCUCUAAUUAUAUGAUAUGAGCCAUGGGAGAUAUAUUGUUCCUGAUUCCAAAAAUCAUUAGAUUUAAGAACAAUUUAAUUUGUAAUCGACGAGCUCUCAUGACAGAACCUUUUAAAACUUGAAUUCAAUUAGGAAAAGCUCACCAUUUCUGGAACCACUUAUUUAAUGGAUAAAAUAAUAACACAAUUCAAUCAGAGAGAGGAAAAAAUGGGAAAGGUGAGUGGACCUGAUAUAAGCUCCCUUUUACUGCCAUCUGAAGAUGAACGGUACCAUUGUAUCGUACACUUGGAAAGAUCAGGAGCAUCAUUGGAGCAAGGUCUAACUCGCAAACAAGAACCUAGAGCUUCAGUGCCAUCUAUUUCAUAUAUAAGGGAUAUGUUUUCCUCGCUCUUUCUGCACAUUGCGAGCUGAAUUAACAAAAAAUGUGUAAUUCAGUAUCAGAAUCCAUCUCCUUGUCAGCCACAUAACAGUCACAAAUGCACUCAUAUGGGAGUAUAAUUAUAAGGACCUGGAAUACACUAAGUAAUACAUGUGUUCCUGUGUAUGUUUGUAUAUGUGUAUCGAAUAUGAAAUCCAAAUAACCUUCUUUUGGAGUUGAAGAAAAUGUUUUGAUUUCUCUGCAAGCUGAUUCCUUAGUGCUCGAAGCUCAUAUUCCAUGUCCAUUACCUAAAACAAUGCACAUGAUUUGACUUUUUAGCAACAAGAUAAGAUAUUACAGAAGCAUCGAUUUAGACAGACAGAUCAUUAAGUCUUGGUCCACAAAUAAACCUACCCUGCUUGGCUGAUGCAGCAUUUUAAUCCGCCUAGCUUCUUGAACUUCCUUCAUUAAAUCUUCCAUGUCCUGAUAUAACAAAGUAAACAAUACUAUGUUUACAUGGGUUAUAUAAUUAUUGACAAGAAAAUGAAACAACAAGCUGGUUUAAAUAUGCAAAAGUGAAAUCAGCAUAAGCUGGAGAUAUCUUGAAUGGCACAUGAAUCAACAAUAUAAGCAAAGGACAUUUACUAGUUUAUGAUAGAAGCCAUCGCUAAAUACCUGUUUCCCAGAGGCCCGGGACAUCUGUUCAUGUUCUCGCAGGGCUUCUUCCACUCUUUGUACAGCUGCUCUUGCACUUUCAAUCUCAGCACGUGCAAAAGCUCUUUCCUCGUCAACAAGUUUCUUAGCAUCCUCUGAGGCCUAGUUAAAGAAUUGUACCCACUAAUCAGCAAGUAAAAAAAAGAACAUGUGUGCAUAUUUUUAAGCUAGGCCAACCAGUAACCACUAAUCCACAGCCGACAACAGAAGAAUAGAUGAGAAAACAAACAAGAGUUUGCCUUCAUUUCCCACGCAAGGUAAGAAAGUACAUCAAGAAUUGGAUAUGAAAGAUUAUGUCUGCAAAGAACUACAUCAUAGUUCUUUAUCAAAAGUAAUAGAAUAUAAACUACUCAAAUGAAAACAAAAAGGACAGGCUCUCUAUUUAUAAUCUGGCUACCUCAAGGACUAACAAAAACUGCAUGGUAUUAAGCCGUGGACGAAACCAUAUUUGCUAUUUUAGAGGACUUGGUUGUUUCAAGUGAAAGACAUAGAACGACUCGUAAAUAUACCUCAAUUGAUACAAGAAAAGAAAUUCUGUCACCUUCUGAAAAGAGCACACUUUACCUGCUUCAAGAAAGAAGCCAGCUUCUUCACUUCCGCUUUUUCUAUGAACAGCUCUCCUUCUCGCUGAGUCAACUGAACAGCUAGAGCUUCAACCUAGCAGAAAUCACAAAUUCCAAACAUGCUUAAGAAAUAGAGGAAAGAGGAAAAAGGAGAGGUGGGAUUGCAAGACAAAUCAUGAAAGCAAUAUUGAAAAGCGAAAGAAAUACAUUUUGGUUUUCAGAAAGGCAAGCGGCUAUAAAUACCACCACAUAAAGUACUGGAACUAUAUAUGAUGGCUUAAAGAACAGAGGAUAAGAUUGCAGGAGAGCGAUUCUUUGAUAAAAGAAGUGACUAUAAAAGACUAACCAUGGCAAUGGCUUCCUCUACAUCAUCCUUGUUUCUACCUGCCACACGUCCUCUUAGAGACUCCAAUGCAUCUCGAAGUUUCUUUAAAAGAACAUGUUUCUCCAAGGAAGUUGCUUCUUUAAGUUUUGCCUGCACUCAUUCCCCAACGAAGUUAGCUUUAAAUUUUCUUUCAAUCAUCAAAUAUUUACUUUAGCAACCUAGAUUGGCCUUCUUGAUUAUUUCUGUAUUUAUAACAAAACAGUUUCUUAAAUGCCACCUUUUUAGAUCCUAUUAAGGAGACUCCAUCAACAAAAAAUCAAACAUAAAUGUGCAAAUCAACUCAUUACAUAGUAACCAAAGAUAGUAGUAACAAGGCAAGAGACACAUUUCAUCUAUAAGACCUCAACAAAAAGAGAGAACUUUUGUUAUGAUAAUUUCAAAACCUAAAAAAAAAGAAUGCAAGCCUAUCUUUAACUUCAGAGAAAUUGAGAAGCCUCUAAUCUCCAUAGUUAUAGAUAAUAGUAAAAGAAGCUGAAAAAAUGAUAUCAACCAUAAGAUUAGGAUAAUAUCAGACCUCCUCGGAUAGCUUAGCAGCUGCAGCCAAUCCCUUCUCAAAUUUGUUAGCGAGGUCACGAACAGACAAACGUUUUUGCUGGUCCAUAAGCUGCGCUGUCUCACGCGCAACAACCUCUUUCAUCGACAUCACUUUAGGGUCAUCUUUAACAUCAAAUAUCUGAUCAUUAGCUCCAAUUCUAUAAUUAGGAAAUCUACUUGAAGCAAAUUUCACAUCUGCUGAUACUGCAGGAACACCAUCUCUCUGUAAUGAAUCCCGGAAAUCGCGUGUAACUCUUGUCAUUUUAUCUGUUUAUAAAACAAAAGCAAAAAUGCUUAGACAUGAAAGAAUUUAAACAAAACAAAGAAUACAAAAUAAAAGACAGAAAAUGGCAGUAGAUAUCUAACCACUAUGAAUAGUAAUAUGCUCCAAUGGACUCACAGAUCUGUUCUUGAAUCUUCACAAAAUCUGAAACAACAAAAACAAAAGAUUGAUUCUUCGACAUCAAACUAAGAAACUUAUGCCAAUGUUGGAGAUAACAAUGGAUUCAACACACAUUUAAGCAAGUUAUCGUCAUAUAGAUAAAGAAUUGAAGCAAGUCAAAACCCUAGAUUACCAAACAAAAGAGCUAACCUUCAACUACCCAUAUACCAAUUUAGUAACAACUUUCAAAGAAGAUAGAAAAUUGAGAGUCAAAUUUAGAAACUUGAAAUCCAAAAUCAGAACACAAAACACUGUAAUAAUCUGAACAAUGUCGGAAAUUUCAGAAACGAACUUCAAAAGAACAAAGCUAAAGACUUGUCACCUGAAUCCGAUUGAUAAAUCAGACAAAUGUUUGCGUUGAAAUCGAUGAUGAGAAGGUCGUCGGGUAUAGAGAAGGAAGAAGAAGAAGAUUUGGUCUGAGGAGAAGGAAAAAGUGAGUUUGAUAGAGUCGUAAGCAUUAGCUUUACUAAAAAGCAAAGACCGUGAAAAAAUUGUGGCUUUGGUGGAAACAAUGUCUUUUUUUUUUUUAAAAAAAUUUAAUUUGGUUUUGAAGUUUUCUGGUAUAGGUAAUAAAUUGUUUUAGAAUUUUCAACUCCGGUUGAUGUGUGUCUCUGUCGUACUGUUGUUGUCUGAAACUUCAAAAUCUCAGAGCGGGUCACGGGUUCUGUUUCGUGUUUAACUGCCACGAUAUUCUUUUUAAUUAUUUUCUAACUAUUUUUUUAAUUAAAAUGAGGUGACUAAACAAGAGUGGUUUGGUGUGAAACUUAGACCUUUCUUACACAAAUUUGGUAAACUAAAACUUAUUUUAAUUAAAUCUUACAAUGCCCUAAAUUAGGUUUUUCCUUUUAAAAAUAAAAUAAAAAAGAUGGAUCCAAACAUCUUUAGCACACAAAAAAGUACCAAAAAGAUAUAUAUAUAUAUAUAUAUAUAUAUAUAUAUAUAUAUAUAUAUAUAUAUAUAUAUAUACAAAUCAAUUAUGAGUUCUACAUCACAGCAAAAAAAAAAAAAAACUUUCAUGAUAAACACAAAACUUGCUCUAUUAAGGAAAUUCGUAGUUUAUGAUUGUUUUUUUUUCAUGAACUAUGUCUUGCGGGUUGAUAUUUAUUUUUCGGAAGAUUUGCGGACAAGCCGGCAUGAGUAUUAGAGCAAAAAAGCCGUCUAGGAGUUUUAAUAUUACUGUACCGAGUUUAGUAUGAUCCGACUUUAAUCCGCUGACUCGACAACUCCAAUAUAACCUGAAUAUGAAACUCUUUUACUAAGUUAGAGGGUUCGGAAUAAGUACAACUCCCCUCUAUAAGUGAUCCUCUCGAAUUGUUUGGGGAGAUUUGAAUUUAGGGUUUUGAGAAUGAAAGAAACAAAACCACUAUUGUGGCGAAAUUAGACCAUAAACAGAAUUGGAAGAAGAAGAGGAAGAUUUGGUAUGAGGAGAAUAAAACAAAUGAAGUUUGAAUGAGAUGUAAGCAUUAGCAUUAUUCAAAAGUAAAGUCCAUGAAAAAUUGUGGCUUUGGUGGAAACAAUGUUGUUUUUCUUUUAAAAUUUUGAAAUAAAAGUUUAAAAACAAAAUUCAACCACUCUUUGUGGUGAAGAUAAAUUAUGAAAAAAAUGUUACGGUGAAAAUUUUUAGAUAAUAAAUUGUUUCACAAUUUUCAUAUCUGGUUGAUGUGUGUCUCGAUCCUACUGUAGUCUCAAACUAAAAAAUCUCAUUUGGUCACGGCAUCUGUUUUGCGUUUAAGGCCAUCUGCAAUGGCCCAACACCUUGGGUGUUCUUGGACUUUUUUAAUUGGAUAAUAUUGUGAACAGUGGCCGAAGAACAUGUUGUUGGGUCUUGAGGUAGAACUGAUUUUGGGCUUGUUCUUGUAUGACGUGGCAGGCCGUGAAUGGGUACAAUUUUUAGCAAAGGAGUUGAUUGAAAAUAUUUGGAAUAAAUUUGGACAAUAACCUAUGUAUUAAUUAAAUAAAAUGUUUCUAUGCUUUUAUUAAGUAAUAUGUUUGUUUUUUUAUUUAUAUCUUUAAUAUUUUUUUUUCAUAAAAAUUUGGUAUUGUAUUUUCACUUUUAUUUUAAGUUUGUAAAUUUUGUAAUUUAAAUGUUAUUUUUAAAUGUUUUUAUAAUUGUAAUAUGUUUAUUAUUAUAUUAUUAAAUCUUCUGAUCUUAAACAUGUUUUCCCAAUAACCAAUUUAUUAACAAAAGAUCUAAACUCCUGAUCUUAUAUUAUUUUAACAAUAUUUUUAUUCUAAGCACACUCAAAACAGUUCCCCCAUUGCGGAUGCCCUAACUGCCGUAAUUUUAUUUUAAUUAUUUUACUUUCCCAGAAAAUGAGAAUUUAUUAUUGUUUUAACCAUUUUUAAGGGGAAAGUAUUCAGAUGAUGACAUUAGAAAGCCUGGUUUUGCCCCAAAAAAAAAAAAAGACUGGUUUUGGAUUUCUAGACCUUUCAUACACAAAUUUAGAAAAAUCCCGAAGUCUCUUCACUCUUGUAAGUUGUAACGAAACACUUUGAAUUGAAUGAUGAGACAAGUCAAGGUCUUUGUAUAAAACACUCCUAAUCGUUUGAUAUAUAUAAUGUGGUUUAAGACACACACCAGAAAAUAAGUUAAGUCAAGUCAACAACAAUCAUAACCGUGUGAUACAUGUGUGGCUUAAGACACAUAUAUACACCACGAAAUAAGUUAAGUGAAGUCAAGUCAUGUGAAGAUCUGUAUAGUAAGCAAAAAACUUUUAUUUAAACUUUUGCUUAAAUAGGAAUCCUAAGCACGUAUACUUGCAGAAACAAGGUAGAUUCAAGCUUUGCCUUGGAUAGAAAUAUCCAAGAAUUUAGCUGAAAAGAUCUUAAGACAUCAUACGUUUCGCUGAAACGAUGAAAACAUCGACAAUGCGGAGCCAUGCUCGACGCCAAGCACAAUCAAAGCACAUAAGUACAACAAUGCUUAUCAACACGGUCACAUAAACUGAAGCAGCGCUAUAAUAGAAGAUCAACAUGUCAAUAGCAACUUCAUUUCCUUCUUCUCCUCCAUUAUUUGCUUCCUCUGAGCUAUUCUUAGCCUCACAACUUCUAUCGGUCGGUGGUCCACAAAGAAGAGGAUUGUCUAAGUAGCUGCUCUCUUUGAAAGUGUUAAAUUGCUUUCCUUGGGGAAUGAUUCCUGAUAAGUUGUUAUUGGGCCAUAUGGGCCUCGGUUUAGCUUAGCUUAGCCCAUAAGAUAUUGCUGUAACAUGUUUACUAGGUUUAACAUUGUACGUUUGUAUAUAAGCCGAUGAGGCCGUAUCAAUACAUUAAGAAAUCCUUUCAUAAACUGCUAUAAGGUUUUAACAUGGUAUCAGAGCCUAGAUCUGACCUCUCUUGAUCUAGUUUUUAAAAAAUUCCGCUUAUUCACCUCUUUCUUUGACCUAAUCUCUGUUAAAAACUUCUGCUAACAGAGAGAUUUCUUAAAAGAUGACUUCAUCAUCGUCUUCUACCUCGACAAGUUCAGCUCUCACGUCUUCCAUGGUUGACACUAAAAGGAAGACGAUUUCUCUGUAUGACUUGUCAUCUAGCGAUAAUCCGGGCGUCAUAAUUUCAAGACCUUUACUACGUGGUCCAAAUUAUGAAGCUUGGGCAACGAACAUACGUUUGGCUUUAACUGCACGCACGAAAUUUGGGUUCGCAGAUGGAUCAAUUCCAAAACCAGAAGAAAAUUCAGAAAACUUUGAAGAUUGGAUUGCCAAUAAUGCUUUGGUAGUCUCGUGGAUGAAAGUGACAAUUGAAGAGAAUAUCUCUGAUUCAAUUUCACAUCUAGAUGACUCACAUGAACUUUGGACACAUAUUAAGAAGCGUUAUGGUGUGAAGAAUGGUCAGCGUGUCCAAAGGUUGAAGACUGAAUUGGCCACAUGUCGUCAAAGAGGAUCUACUCUUGACGAGUACUACGGCAAGCUCUCGGGUCUGUGGAAGAGUUUGUCUGAUUAUCAACAGGCAAAAACAAUGGAGGAAGUACGAAAGGAGAGAGAAGAGGACAAGCUACAUCAGCUUUUGAUGGGUCUCGACGAAACCAUUUAUGCUACGGUAAAAUCUUCUAUGUUAUCUCGUGUUCCAUUGCCAUCGUUGGAAGAGGCAUAUAACGUUUUGCAGCAAGAAGAUGAAUCCAAGUUGGCGAGUCGUUUCCAUGCCGAGAGGACCGAUGGGGUGAGUUUUGCAGUCCAAACCCAAUCUCACUCAUUACCGUACGCUGAUCACAGAAAUCACACUUGCAAGUUGUGUGGAAAGAUUGGUCACUUUGAUGAGAACUGUUUUAAGAAGAUCGGAUAUCCACCAUGGUGGGUUGAGAAGCCAAGAAACAAACCCAACAACAGUCGUGUCACGACAGCAGCUCCGUCUCAAAUGUCUCGUGGCCGUGGCUCUGUUGAUACAUCAUGUGGCGGACAAGCAAAUGCUGUGAUGGUCUCACGUUCGUCGGGUUCAGCUUUGCACACCGCCACAAUCACCGACGCGGACAGAGUAGGGUUAAGUGGGCUGAAUGAUCAUCAAUGGAAAUCACUUGUUCAGAUGCUUGAGGAAAGAAAAUCAACCUCCACUGAACGUCUCAAUGGUAAGUGGUUUCUUGAAUCUUGGAUUAUUGACAUUGGUGCUUCUAAUCACAUGACAGGUUCCCUGGAUUUUUUGAAUGAUAUUUUCGACAUGCCUCCGGUUUUAAUUAAACUUCCUGAUGGUCGAUUCACUACUUCGACAUGUCAAGGAACAGUUCAGUUGGGAUCUUCACUACGAUUAUCUGCAGUGUAUUUUGUUGAUGAGUUAAAAUGUCAUCUAAUCUCCGUCUCACAGCUGACCCGUGACAGUGGUUGUGUGUUUCAGAUAACUGAUCGUCUAUGUGUGGUCCAGGAGCGCAUUUCGAGGACGGUGAUUGGUGCGGGUGAGCAAAGAAACGGUUUGUAUUUUUUCCGGGGGGUUGCGGUUGCGUCAGCAGUACAAAGGUCGGAUUCACAGUCUUUGGCGUUGUGGCACAAGCGUUUAGGACACCCUUCUUCUAAAGCAUUAAAUUUGUUGGAUUUUUCUAAGAGUAGUAGUUCUUUUGAUUCACAUUCUUGUGAGAUUUGUAUUCGAGCAAAACAUUCAAGAGAUUCUUUUCCAUUGAGCAAUACUACUUCUCAAAUGGCUUUUGAAUUAAUUCAUUGUGAUCUCUGGGGACCAUAUCGGACUUCAACACUUUGUGGUUCUCGAUUCUUCUUGACUAUUGUUGACGAUUACUCACGAGCAGUGUGGAUAUAUCUUCUUACUUCCAAACAAGAAGCUCUAACUCAUCUCAAAAAUUUUCUAGCUCUUGUUGAGCGCCAAUUCUCGACUCACGUUCGUACGGUACGCAGCGAUAAUGGGUCCGAAUUUAUUUGUCUCCGAGAUUUCUUCGCAGAGAAAGGCAUCAUUCAUGAGACAUCGUGUGUGGGUACACCACAACAGAAUGGUCGCGUUGAGCGCAAACACCAGCAUAUACUAAACGUUGCUCGGGCACUUCGUUUUCAAGCCAACCUACCCAUAGAAUUUUGGGGUUACUGCGCGCUUACUGCAGGCUAUCUCAUUAAUCGCACUCCCACCAAACUUCUCAAGGGAAAAACACCAUUCGAGCUGAUUUAUGGUCGUCCUCCUCCUCUUGAACAUUUGUGUGUUCUUGGGUGUCUUUGUUUUGUUCAUAAUCAAAAACAUGGAGGAGACAAAUUUGCUCCACGAAGUAAGAGAGCUGUGUUUUUGGGUUAUCCUUUUGCGAAAAAAGGAUGGCGAGUUUAUGAUCUUGAAACCGGAUUGGUUUCUGUUUCACGUGAUGUGAUUUUUCAUGAGGAUGAAUUUCCUUUUGUUUUAUUGGGCAGUGAUGAGAAGAUGGAUUUGCAGUCCGACUCUUCACCACCAAUUCUUCUCUCCGAUGACGACAUUCAAAGGGCUGAGGAUAUUGACUCUGCUCCCGCUCCUCUGUCUUCACUUUUGCUUUCACCGGAAUCAACUUCACAAGAUUCCAGUGAAUCGGAAGACCCGGUGACUCCUAGAACAGUGGUCACGCCAGAUUCAUCUCUUUCGUCAUCACCUGCGACUUCUCCCGUCACACCUGCAAUUUUUCCCGACACACCUGCAACUCCUCCCAUCAUAUCUGCAGCUUCACAGUCAUCGGAAAAGUCUGCAGAAUUGUCCACUUCUACGACUCUGUCUGACACUCCGGUUACGCCUUCUUCAGUCAAUUCUGAUACUCCGGUUUUGACAGCACCCAGUCCAGAAAAAUUAGGACCUGGCCUUCGUAAAAAGAAACGACCAGUUAAACUUGCAGACUAUGUCACAAUGCUCCUCCAUCAACCACAUCCAUCGGCAACUCCAUAUCCAAUUGACAAUUUCCUCUCUAGCUCACGGUUUACCGAUUCAUAUCAAGCGUUCUUGUUGGCUAUCACUUCUGGUACUGAGCCGAAAUUUUAUAAAGAUGCUGUUCUAGAAGAAGAAUGGAGAAAUGCAGUUCAAGAUGAAAUUGUGGCACUCGAAGACAACGGUACAUGGACAGUUGAAACUCUUCCUCAAGGCAAGAAAGCGCUGGGUUGUAAAUGGGUAUUCAAAUUGAAAUACAACGCCGAUGGUACGUUGGAGAGACAUAAAGCUCGGUUAGUGGUACUUGGGAAUAAUCAAACCGAAGGUGUUGAUUUUAAUAAGACAUAUGCGCCUGUUGCAAAAAUGGUUACGGUUCGUGCAUUCUUACAACAAGCCGCAUCGAAUGACUGGGAGGUACACCAAAUGGAUGUCUACAAUGCUUUCUUACAUGGUGAUCUAGAUGAGGAAGUGUUUAUGCAAUUCCCACCGGGAUUUCGUACCGAAGAUAAGUCACAGGUUUGUCGUCUUAAAAAAUCUUUGUACGGGUUGAAACAGGCGCCUCGAUGUUGGUUUGCAAAGUUGGGUUCAGCUUUAAAGGAAUAUGGUUUUGUUCAAAACGUGUCAGACUACUCAUUGUUCACGUUCGAUGAUUCUGUUGCUUUUCUCAACGUGCUUGUUUACGUCGACGACAUUAUCAUCUCCGGCAGCUCGUUAGCCAUUAUUGAAAAAUUCAAGUGUUACUUAAGUGAUUGUUUUCACAUGAAGAACCUUGGUCUUCUUCGGUAUUUUUUGGGUAUUGAAGUAGCUCGGAAUUCUACGGGAUUCUAUCUUUGUCAACGCAAGUAUACACUUGAUCUUCUCACAACUACGGGUGUGUUAGGUGCCAAGCCGGUCGCUUUUCCUAUGGUGCAAAAUCAUAAACUCGCAGUGGCUAAGGGAGAGCCUAUUCCUGACCCACUUCGUUAUCGUCGCCUCAUCGGGAAGUUGAUUUAUCUUGGUGUUACACGACCAGAACUGUCAUACGCAAUCCAUAUCUUAUCGCAAUUCAUGAGCCAGCCAAAGGAACAACAUUGGACUGCAGCUCUUCGCGUUCUUUGCUACUUGAAAAGUAGUCCGGGACAAGGUAUUUUUCUCCGUGCAAACACACCUCUUGUUCUUACUGCGUGGUGUGAUUCAGAUUGGAGUUCCUGUCCUGUUUCUCGUCGGAGUCUCACUGGUUGGUUUAUUCAAUUGGGUGGCUCUCCUAUCUCAUGGAAAACAAAGAAACAUGAUGUCGUUUCUCGCUCUUCAGCAGAAGCUGAAUAUAGAGCGAUGGCUGACACCGUUUGUGAGAUCUUGUGGCUGCGUGAGUUAUUACCUGCUUUGGGAAUUGAUUGUACUGCUCCCACGACGCUUUACUCGGACAGCUUAUCUGCCAUUAGCCUUGCCAAGAACCCAGUCUAUCACGCUCGCACGAAGCAUAUCGAAAACGACUUGCAUUUUAUUCGUGACGAGAUUAUACGUGGUGCCAUUGUUCCUAAACACAUUUCCACGACUUCACAGCUGGCCGACGUCAUGACUAAGGCAUUGGGGAAGACGGCAUUUGAAGCUUUUUUACUCAAGAUGGGUGUUCGGAAUCUCCACACUCCACCUUGAAGGGGGGGGGGGGGUAUUGGGCCAUAUGGGCCUCGGUUUAGCUUAGCUUAGUCCACAAGAUAUUGCUGUAACAUGUUUACUAGGUUUAACAUUGUACGUUUGUAUAUAAGCCGAUGAGGCCGUAUCAAUACAUUAAGAAAUCCUUUCAUAAACUGCUAUAAGGUUUUAACAGUUGUUGUGAGACACGUCGAACACCUCAAGAAAUGUAAGCAUGUUUAGUUGGUAAGGAAUGCUUCCAUGUAACAUGUUGUAUGAAAGAUCGAGGCUCUCAAUAUCUGUCAGAUUGGAGAAGCUUGAUGGUAUAGAACUAGAUAAAAAAAUUGUGAGAUAGAUUCAGGGCUUUUACUUUCGGGAGAUCUCCAAGCUCUGUUGGGAUUACACCACUUAAUUCAUUGUUCGACAGGUCCAUCCCAUACAUGUAAUCAAGAACUCCUCCUUUGUACUCUAUUCUUCCUGCAGUAUAAGAUUCAUACCUUUGCUUCGAUGCAAAUUCGAUUCCAAUUUCUUCAUAAGUUUCGUAUUGAACCACGAGCUCCUCUACCACAAAUGUGAAUUUGUAAAUAUCCAAGGUAAAGCGCUCUAGGUUAAAAAAUAUUCCAUAGAGAGGCCAAAACAUCUGUACCCCAGAGAAAGUAUAAUGAGACCUUCCAACAAUGUGUCUGGAAUCGGCCCUGUGAAGCUGUUGUUGUGGAGGAAUAAAUAAAUCACACCCAUAUGUGAUAGUAAGGGUCCAGACAAUAUGUUUCCAGAAAGGUCCAGAUGUGAAAGAUGGGGCAAGUCCACCAAAGAAGGAGGUAUUGUACCUUCUAAUAAAUUGUUUGAUAACAAUAAGUCCUCCAGAACAUAUAACAUAGAUAGCCAACUUGGAAUAGCACCUGUGAGACGAUUGUUGGACAUGUCAAGAAACGACAACCUGGUGGAGCCAAGCAAACCAACUCCAAUCUUCCCUGUAAAUAAGUUGUUAGGGAUUGUCAACUUACGCAAGGAAGUGAAUCUUGUUCCUCGUGGAAGACAAUUGCCGGUGAAUUUGUUGUGAGAAAGCAUCAGAUAUUUUAGCGAAAAACAACCCAUGAGAACGCUUCUCGGUAGCUUCUUAGAGAAGUUAUUAUAAGACAGAUCCAACAGUGAAAGGUUCUUCAUCUCACCUAUAGACGAAUGUAAUUGUCCUUGAAACCCAUUAUACGAGCCAUUCAUCUCUACCAGAUUCGGAAGUGCACGACCAAUAUUAUUAGUGAACACCCCACCAAUAUGAUUUGCUGAAAAAUCCAAAAAUUGCAAAUUAUGCACUUUUGAAGGUAUUUGAAAGAUUGUGAAUGAAUUCUCUUGCAACUGUAAGACUUUAAGUUCUGAAUUAUUCGCCAACAACCAAGUAGGAAUGUCUCCGGAUAAUCUGUUUCUGGAUAGAUCAACGAGAUGCAAGUUCUUCUGGUACAUGAGAAAUGAAGGGAUUUUCUCUAAGUUGCAAGAUCGUAGUAUAAUAACACGCAGUUGAAAGUUUGGAUGCCAAGUGCUCUCCAUCUUUACUUGUACCUUAUGCGAUGUUGAUGAAAGUUUUACCACCUUGAGCUUUGUGAGGUUGGUGAGUGGAUUGAGAGAGAAUAAGCUUGUGAAGUUGUUAUCCAACAAUGAUAGAUACUCAAGAGACUCAAGCCUACUGAAACUAGACUGUAGAUUUCCACUAAGUCGGUUGGAUGAGAGGUCAAGGACCCGUAGCUUUUUCAAGCUACCUAAACAAAGAGGAAGUUGGCCUACAAAACGGUUUUGUCUGAGAUCGAGCUCCUACAGAUUCUUCAUUCUACAAACUACUGCAAAAAAAUAAUUUGGAAAACACUAGAGAUAAUGAGAAUAAUAAGAGUCGAUGCAUUCAUCUCGAGAAGUCACAAUACACUUCUCAUACAUAUCGUAGAGGUGUAAAACGCAAAGGUCACCUUCUAUUGGUAUAGGUCCGUCCAAAUCGUUCUCAGCAAGACCCAAGACUUCCAAGUUAGUCAAAUUCUUUAGAUCUGAGAUAAUACAAAAGCCAAAGGGUUGUAAUUUACAAAAUGAUCAUAUCGAAAUAUAAAUAAGUUAUAUUCAUAUCCAUUCCCAACAACAGAAUGUUAAACAUUAAAACCAUGCUUGCCUUGCAAUUCCAUAGAGCCCAUUGAGCUAGAAUAAUAACUGGUACUUAGAUUCAGAGCUUUCAGGCUUUUCAGGUGAGUCAGUGCUGCCCCAAGAAUAAGAGAGAUGACGAAAGACACGUACUAGUUAGUAUGGAGAAGAUGAUCUUUGAGAUGGCAAAUCAACAAAUAUGUACGGAUUUAAAUCUGUUAAAAGUUAUAUUCAUAAGAUAAAUGACAGUGACAAUUAACGUGGAUGUUACCUGGAAUGGAACCGUGAAAAUCAUUACGACUCAGAUCCAGCAACUCCAAGUUUGUCAAGUUCUUUAGUUUUGAAAGGGAGUCCAUGAGAAUAUUAGAAUGAUAACUAAGAACUGCAAUUUGCACAAAAAAAAAAAAACUAAGAACUGCAAUUAAGACAUAAAAUUACAUAAACCAAACAUACAUCAUCAAUGAGUAGGCUAUGCUCGAUAGGCACCUCGUUAUACUAAUGGAAAAUACACACCUUUAAUAGACAAAUCUGUUACGGAGUUAUCGUGAAGAAUAAGAGUUGUAAGUGACGUCACGGCAUUAAGAAAAGGAAAUAUGUUGUUGUUGAAUUCAUUUGAAGAGAGAUCCAGAAUCUCCAGGUAUUUUAAUUUUCGUAAGCUUUUAUAACCUGCAAAGAAAUGUAUAUAUCGUUAACAUAGUAUACAAAAAUAAGAUAGCCCUUAACACUUCAAUAAGUUCAAUUAUAAAAUUUAGUCUACUCUAGAUGAAAAUGCAUGUAAUUAAGAGAGUUGAACUGUAUGAGAUUGAAGAAAACGUGACUCUAGCCAUUGGAUGUAAUUAUAUUGUGCACUACAUGGCAAUAUACAUAAUACAUCAACAAGUCGGUUGAUGUAGAAAAAGGUACUAUCACCUUUUGAUUAACAUAGAUUUAAAGAAUUAACACGGAGAAUUAGAUUUAGCCUAUCUAAAUUUAAAAACUUUCAAAGUUUUAUUUCCAAAUAGAGACCACAAGGGUAAACUCAACACUGUGAAAAGCCUGAUAUACCUUCAACAUCAUCAAUGAAGCCAUUGAAUGAGCCGUCCUUGACUUGUGUCCACAUAGAUAAGUUAAGACUUCGAAGUUCUUCAAAAGGAUGCAGUGAUAGUAGGAUUUUGCCUAUCUAACAGGUAUCAAUCCCUAAUACACAUGCCAUUGUAGUAUAUUAGGUUAUCAAUCCAAUCUCAGUGUGACUGCAAGCAUUUAAGAUAUGCACAGAAAGCAGAUAAGUCAAGCCAAUUGUGAAAGGGUUUUGUGUGUUUCUAUUGAUCCUAGCAACCAAUUUAACAUGCAAAUACCAAAUUUAAAAGCAUAAAAAGAGAACUAAACAGCAAGUAAACAAGAACAAGAAGUAAACUAAAGACCAGAAACUAUCAUGCAUAAACUUUGGAAAAGAAACUAGCAACCUAACAAUGCAGAGAAACGAUCUAGGCCUAACAGGUCGAGAUGGUCAACAGAGACUAACAGAAACAAGAUUUAAACAAUCAAUAGAGAUAAAGGGUCUUGAGGAAUGGGGUAAUCGAUUAUGGCAGUCUCCUUAGUCUACCUAGGUGGUUAACAAACUCAAUCAAGCUAUCCCUAGACAAUAGAUUCGAAUACAAAUCAAUCCACUCUCGUGACAGAGAUUCUCAAGCUAAAUCACUUUCAUACUCAAUUCUCAUUGAAGAAAUAUAACCUAGCAGGCAUUAUGAUUCAAUCUAAUAAAGUCAAUAAGCAUUCUAAACAUCCAAUCUCUUGGGCUAGAGUAUGCAAAUCUCUGGAAAAGUUUGUUCAGACAUUUCAUCAAACACCUUUUGGGUGUGGAAAUGUCUGAGAUCAAUUUCCAAUUGAUCAGAGAAGAAAUAGCAUUAAGAUCUACUAAACCAGAAGGGAAAUCAAGCAAUUCUACACUUAACCACCUAAAUAUACUAAGGAUUCCACACCUAAUCUAUCCCAUCCUCAAGAACCCUAAUCCACUACUCAAGAACACUGAAGAACAUCAUGCAUAAAAACCCAGAAAACGUUUCAAACCCAGAAAUCAUUAAAAAGCAAGUAUGUUAUAGAUGAGAAUGAGAUCUACAACUUUGAUGAAGAAACGAAAUCCAAAAACUCAAAGGAUCAAAGGGAAAAACGAUUACAAAACUAGGGUUUUUAGAGAGAACAAAGGAAUAUCUGCUGGGUAAAGAGAAUAUCCCCUGGAUAAAAGGGUGUACCCCUAUUUAUAGGAAAUACUAGGUUGCCCUAAUUGGCUACAGGACAAAAUAGAGAGUCGGUGGAGGCCAACUCGACGUGUCGUCGAGCCUGACACGUCGAGACCAAGUGAUUCUCAAAGGUGGCGCCUUGAUGUCCAUCUCGACGUGACGUCGAGCCUGUCUGGUCGAGUCUGCUCCCAGGCUGCUUCUUGGCGUCCAUCUCGACGUGACGUCGAGCCUGUCUGGUCAAGACUGCUCCCAGGCUGCUUCUUGGUGUCCAUCUCGACGUGACGUCGAGUCUGCACGUCGAGACUGCUCCCAGGUGAUCUUGAACGACUUCAUUCUUCUCCAAUUCGAUCCCAAGUCUAGCUCCAAGGUCGUGUUGGUUCCUCCUUGCUCCAUUAAGUCCCAAAUAAGCUCCAAAGUACCUAAAACUCAUCCAAUAUGCAACAUGCUAUGCCAUGCAAUGCAAAUCGUACUAAGUGAUGAAAAUCUUAUGAAAAAAGGACUAUUAAUGCAGUGAAACAGAGAGGAAACUAAGCUAAAUGCAUAAGAAAUGUGUGCUAAAAAGAGGUAAAAUACAGAGAUAUCAACUCCCCCAAACUUAGCUCUUGCUUGCCCUCAAGCAAACAAAUAGAACCAAGCUGGAGAAGAGGUUUGAAAGUGGAGACUCAGAACCAAAACAUGCAUAUAGAGUAAGUGAAUUCAAUGUCCAGGUUGCUAAUUCUAGAAUGCAAGGUUGACUGAUCUCUACUUAAAAACAUUAGCCAUCUUCUUCACAUCUCAACCUAACCUCUGCCUUAAUCAAAUCAAGCAUUCAAAUCUGCACAUUCCCUUUAACAUUUAUUAAGUAGGAACCGUGAAUCAUACUAUGCAAUGGAUAUGAACACAUUUGGCUAAAGGGUAAAGGUUUUAGAGACAAAGAUGGUCCCUUAAAGAUCUGGUUUAAAUCGUAACAGGGGAUCUCUCAAGAAUGAUUGAGCUUUGGUAGAAUGCUAAAGGUGAGUAUCAAGUUAUGCAUACAAGGAUAAGACCCCAUCUACCCAGAAUGUAAUCAAUAUCAACCCAAAUAGAGGUCCUAUUUCUAAUCCCAGAAUCAUGAACUUAACUCUACCCUUUUGCACUCUAAACAGUUACAGACUUUUACUCACAUCAUUUCUUUCUUUUCUUUGUUUUUCUAACCUAGGAGAAGCUUUCUUACUUUGCUCUGUCUAGCGGAUUAGGAUUCUUUAACAACUAGGGUUCCCUUUUCUUUCUUCUUAUAAACACAAGGCUUUUGCCCAAACUCUUUAAGCUAUUUACAGAACCCUUUUUCCUUUACUUUAGCACACCCAAAUUCUUUACUAGACUUCUCUUACUUUAGCUACUUCUCCUUAGGACUCUUUUCCCUUUUCUUUUCUUUCAAUGAUGAACACAACCUUUUCUUUCUUUUAAACACAACCCAAACCCAGAAUUAAGCACCCACCUAGUCCUAUCUGGUCCAGAUAACGUGAACCAGAACUACAUGAGAUACUAUCCUUGUCGUUACAGACCUAACACUUUCUACCAAGCUCAAUCGGAAUAAGGCCUCACAUUCACACACAAAUGAUAAAUGGCUUGAAAGAAGGUUAAGGCUAAGGGUGGGGAAUAACUGCUCCAAAGAUGAGAGUCAGCUACUUGGACUAGCAAGAGUGAUCAAAAGGUAAAAGAAAGUCCAAGUAUUUUAAGGUAUCCAUGAGUUCAUAGCACAAUGCACAGCAUGAUAAUUAUAAGUCAAAAUUCAAGUUCAAAUAGAUAGGGAAUGGCAUCAGAUCAAAGCGAGAUUCGAAUAAAAACAAGAAAGUCAAGCGUUGAAUUCAAAAGAUGGUGCGGUCUUACUUCAAGUUCAGUCGAUUAUGCAUUAGAGAACUAACAACCAGGGCACUGAGUUCUACUUAGUGAAUAAGCAUAUUUACAAGGUUAUAAUCAUCAUAAUCUCCAAUGCAAAUGCAUGAUGCAACAGCCCUAAGUGAAAGCAUACUAAAACAAUCCUAAAAUGACAAUGCAAGCUAUAUGAACACUCUGUUUUUGUGAAAUCAUUUUCAAAAAAUUUCAAAUUUUUAUGGUUUUUCUAUGCCUUAGAUGCAAUGAUGCAAAAUUUGAAAUAAGAAAACAAAACACAAUGUCAAAUACUCCCUGAGCCCUCCCCCAAACUUAAAUUACACAGUCCUCUGUGUAACAAGCAUUUGGAAGAGAGUACUCAGGGCAAAUCAGAGAAACAAAAUGAAAUGUGGUAUAUACAAUGGUGAAUUGGAGUUGUUACCUCAUGGAUGGGUGAAGAAGGAGGUGAUUGACCUGGUACUGGUGGGCUUCAUGGGCUAACUCGACGUUGGGUCGAGCUAGUACGUCGAGUAGGGCUUCGAUAUUGGUUUGGAGUGGCAAGCUCGACUUGUGGUCGAGUAGGGCACAUCGAGACAAGGCAACUCAUUCUGUUUUGCGCCUUGGCUUCCUUAAAACGCUUUAUCCUGAGACAGUUAAGCAAAAACAUCAAAAAUAACAAGGAAAUAACUAAUAUUCACAAGGAUAGACAUGGAACUUCCUCCCAAGUGAGCUUGUUUAAAGUCUUUAGCUUGACUUCUCACAGUGAAUAAGCUUAGGGUGGAUUGUAGAGAGCAAAUGAGGUCUCAUCUGUUCUGCAGGUGGAUGAAUCAUCUGGCUUAGCAGGCUCUCUUGACAAAUCUGUAGUUGAGUACUCAAUGGCCCUUUUCUCAUAGUAAGCUUCUUGUUGAUCAUCUGGAUAGUCUUCUGCUAUAGACCAUUCUGAAGUGAAUUCACUCCCCUUUUUGCUGACCAUAGUGGAUGCUUCAUCAGUUGGGACGUCCUUGAUUGGGAGUGGUUUUUGGUUGGCUAUCCCAUGUAGCUUCUUGAUUUGAUCAUUCAGCUCUCUCACAGUGCCUGUUAGCUCCCUUAUGGCUAUAUCCUGCCAUUUGGACCUCUCCUUGAGUUCUAACCAGCCAUCUGGAGCAGAAUUGCUAGACUCUAGCAGCUUAUCACGAUGUUUGGUCGAGCUAGAGUUCUCCAGACGAGUUGUAGGCUUGCUCAAAUGUAUACUCGAGUCAGCUGGUUGAGCAUGUGUUGAGCUUGCUUCAUAUGCUGUCUUAACCACUGUUUUUGACCCAAUCAAGCCUUUAAAGACCUCUGACCCUACUACUUCCUUGUGUGAAUCUAGUGACUUACCACAGCUCAAAGUUUCAGUGAGAAGAUAUUCUGCUUCACCACUCUUAGUCAAAGAAGUUUGUUGGUGAUCUUCCUCAGCAACCUCCUCUAGCUGUUCAUCAGCUAAGCAAUCCAUUACCUUAACUACGAAGGUCUGUCCUUCAAUUGUUGGCUUCCUCGUGGCAUCAUUGAUAUCAAACUUCAUUGUGAAAUCAUUUCCCAGAUUAAGAUCAAUCUUCCCAUUCUUAACAUCAAUGACAGCUCCAGCAGUGGCUAAGAAGGGCCUUCCUAAGAUUAAAGGAUCUUUUGGUUCAUCCAUUUCUAGCACUAUGAAGUCUGUAGGGAUUUCAGCAUUUCCAAUCUUAAUAGGCAAAUCUUCUAAUAACCCAUGAGGAAAUCUGACAGACUCAUCAGCCAGGAUCAAGGAGAUGUUGCAAGGUUUAUACUUGCUGAAACCCAGUCUCUUGGCCACGGAGAGAGGCAUGAGACUUUUAAAAGCACCUAGAUCGCAGAGGCAGUUACUGAAGGCCAAAGUGCCUAGAGAGCAAGGUAAAGUAAACGAACCAGGAUCUCCCAAUUUCUUGGGAAUAAUCUUCGUUUGGAUGAUUUCGCUGCACUCAUGACUCUCCAUCUCUUGCACUUCCUUAAUUCUCUCCAUUACCAUGUCUUUGAAGUACUUGUGAGAAUCCGGAAUCAGCAUGAAAGCAUCAAUGAGAGGCAUCCUUAAUUCAAUCUCCUUGAUGUGUUUAGCAAACAUGGCUCUGUACUUCUCAAUGAUAUCCCUCUUGAAUCUUCCUGGGAAUGGUAAGCUAGAUGUGGAAUUUAUCCCACAAAGCUAUGAAGAAGCUAAGGAAAGCAAGGAAUGGACUAAUGUUGUGGAUGAUGAAGUACAAGCUAUGAUUCGGAAUCAUACAUGGGAUGAAGAAGAACUUCCACAAGGGAAGAGAUGUGUUAGCUCAAAGUGGGUAUUCACCAUAAAGUAUAAGAGUAAUGGUGAAAUUGAAAGACAUAAGGCUAGAUUGGUUGCAAGAGGAUUCACUCAAACCUAUGGAGAUGAUUAUAGGGAAACUUUUGCUCCGGUAGCUAAGCAACACAUCGUAAAAGUUGUUCUCUCUUUGGUUGUGAACUUGGAUUGAGAAUUGUGGCAAAUGGAUGUCAAGAAUGCUUUCCUUCAGGGGGAGUUGAAAGAAGAAGUGUAUAUGACACUUCCUCCGGGUUUAGAAGACAUAGUGGCUCCGGGAAAGGUCUUAAGGCUUCGGAAAGCUAUCUAUGGACUAAAACAGUCUCCAAGAGCCUGGUAUCAUAAGUUAAGCUCUACCUUAUUGGCUAAUGGCUUCAAGAGAUCACAUUCUGACCAUACUUUGUUUACUAAACAAGAUAAUCAAGGUAUCGUAGUAGUUCUAAUCUAUGUUGAUGACUUGAUUAUCUCGGGAAGUAACAAAGAAGGUAUCCAAGCUAUUAAGUCUGCUUUACAUUCUUCUUUUGAUAUUAAAGAUUUGGGUGUUUUGAAGUACUUUCUAGGGAUCGAGGUGUGUAGAUCAAAGGAGGGACUAUUUCUCUCACAAAGGAAAUAUGCCCUCGAUCUCCUAAAGAUUACAGGAAAACUUGGAGCUAAACCGGUUGAAACACCAUUGGAGCAAGGCUAUACGGUCAAUCGAAAGGGGAAGAAAGAUGAUACUCCAUAUCAUUGCCCAGAACAAUAUAGAAGACUUGUAGGUAAGCUUAUAUACUUGACAUAUACGCGACCUGACUUGUCUUUUGCCGUGAAUCAGGUGGCUCAACACAUGCAAGCCCCUACAGUUUACCAUUGGAGCUUGGUGGAGAGGAUUCUGAGAUAUAUCAAAGGGAGUCCCGGUAAAGGCAUUUGGAUGGGAAGAAACUCAAGCACGGAGAUUGUUGGAUAUUGUGAUGCAGAUUAUAAUGGAGAUCGCAAUACAAGACAAUCAACAACCGGCUUUUGCACAUUCAUUGGUGGGAACCUCGUAACUUGGAAAACCAAGAAACAGAAAGUGGUGUCAUGUUCGAGUGCAGAAGCAGAAUAUAGGGCCAUGAAGAAGCUUACAAAUGAGUUAACAUGGUUAAAAGCUCUACUUAAAGACUUCGGGAUCGAGCAGAAGACUCCAAUUACCUUUCAUUGCGAUAAUCAAGCAGCCAUCCACAUUGCUACCAAUCCCGUGUUCCACGAGAGGACCAAGCACAUAGAGACGGAUUGCCACAAGACAAGAGAGAAGAUAGAAGAUGGUACGAUUCUCCCUUGUUACACUAAGAGUUCGGACCAAUUGGCCGAUAUCUUUACCAAGGCAGCAAGUAACCAAGUUUGCCAAUUUAUUCAUGGUAAACUUGGUCUUGUAGACCUGACACAUCCUUGAAAAAUAUUCUCCAACUUGUAGGGAUAAUACUCUUUUUCCCUAAGCUUGGUUUUGUCCCACGUGGUUUUCCAAGCUUAGGUUUUUAAUGAGGUUAUUCAUACAAGUGUCAAGUUUAUACACAAUUGGGCAUUGUGGUAUAAACUUGAGGGGGAGUGUUAAUCAAGAAGACAUUUAACACUAACUAAGUCAUAGUUAAGGGUUAAAUGUAGGUUACUUGGGUUACUCGGGUUACAGGUUACAUGGGUUACUCGGGUUACAGGUUACUUGGGUUACUCGGGUUACUCGGGUUACUCGGGUUACAAGGCUGAAUGAGGGUGCUUUUGGUCUUUGUGCACAACCCAUCUCAGACCUAGAUUAUGUUCUCUAUAUAAACGUGUGUGCCUCCUCAUUGUGUUUCACACAUCUUUCAUUAAUACAUUUCUGCUUCUCUCCAAUCUUAAAUCAUGGUUUCAUCAAUCUUUCCUACUUAAAUAUUAACAAAAAUAAGUCAAGUCAAGUCAACUGAAGAAAACAAACACAGUUGAGCUAUUCGAAUAAUUAAAAAAAGGGCAACACAAUUUUCUUAUUGGAUUUAGGCAAAACCUCAUUCUUAUCGAUUUUGCUUUUUCAAAUCUCUAAAUUUAAGAAAAUUUGAGAAGCUUCUAAAUCCCAUUGGUAUUUAAAGAGAAAAGAAGAUAUCAAACAUAGGAUUAGAAUCAUAUCAUACCUCCUUGGAUAGCUUAGUAGCUGCAGCCAAUCCCUUCUCAAAUCUAUUAGCGAGGUCACGCGAAUAAACAUACGUUUUUUCUGGUCCAUAAGCUUUGCUUGACCUCAUUCAUCGUUAGCACUUUAGGGUCAUCUUUAACAUCAAAUAUCUGAUCAUUAGCCCCAAUUCUAUAGUUAGAAAAUCUACUUGAUUAUGGCUAGUAAAUGGCUAACCACUAUGACUAGUAAUAUUCUCCAAUGGGCUCACAUAUCUGUACUUGAAAAUCCACAUAAUCUGAAAUACAAAAAAACAAUAAUGUUGAGAACAAAACAUUGAUUCUUCAACAUCAAACAAAGAAACUUAUGCUAGUGUUGGAGAUAACAAUAGAGUCCACACACAUAUAAGCAAGUCCAGAGAAAGAAUUGGAGGAAGGCAAAACCCUAGGUUACCAAACAAAGAGUUCCCCUACAACUACCCAUAUACCAAUUUAGUAACAAAUUUCAAAGACGAUAGAAAUUGAGAGUCAUAUUAUGGAACUUGAAAUCCAAAAUCAGAACACAAAACAUUGCAAUAAUCUGAAUAAUGCCGGAAAACAAAGCUAAAGACUUCUCACCUGAGUACGAUUGAUGGGCCGGGACACACAAAUGUUUGCGUAUUAAUCGAAUUUGAGAAGGAAAAAGUGAAGUUUGAUAGCCGACCAGGCUGAACCGGGUUCACAAAACCGUUAGCUUCUCUUUAUUUUAUUCGAGAAAUAUAUGUUUAGAUAUAUGUGUCUAUAUCUAAAUUAUAUAUAAAGAAUAAAAAAUAUAAAAAAACUUUUUCAUAAUUGUAAGAAGUUUAAGUCAGAUAGAAAUUCUUUGAAUAAUUUAUAUCUCAUAUAUUAUCACCCUACCAAAAAAAAAUCUCAUAUAUUUCCAUUAAAAAGUUUUUUUCUUAAAUGGAGUCUAAUGUAUUUUUGUUAAAAAGACCCUUAAUAUAAAAUGAUUUUUUAAAUUAUUACACAGAAGCUAAAUAAAAUAAUUAAUACAGAAUCUAUAUUGUUUGGCCGUAGGAAGAGGACUGUUGGCUGCUAUCUUCUUGACAAACAGACAUGUGUCGCCGGAAUCAUGUUAGCUAUUGUGUUGUGGAGCCUACUCUACUCUCCGAUGCCGGUUAUAAUGAAGAAAUUGAGUCAUCACUAGUAAAUUUUCCAUAAGUUCUAUCUCCAACCUAUGUCUAUAUUUUUUCCCUCCAAAAUAGAGUUUUUCCAUUUUUGGAAUUGGGUUUUUGCUCUAAUCCUAUUCUAUUUUGUAGUUAAAAAUGAAGAUAUUUAAAUUUUAAUGUAAAUUAAAAAUAGAAGUCUCCAAAUAUGAGAAAAGUAAUGGAGAUCUCCAUUUUGGAGUUGGAAAUGGAGAUGGGUUGGAGCAAAUCUAACUCCAAACUUUAAUUUACAGAUGAAAAUGGAGAUGCCCUAAUACGUCACUAGUAAAUUGUUCAUCAAGCUGAGAGGUAAAGCUCUAAACUAUAUUCAUACUUUGUAAACAUCACUCUUAAUUUAUCAAUUAUCACCCCACCACUCAGUUUUGAGAUUUUCUUAUUGUUUGAAAACUUUGGCCAUGUUAAUUCACUUACUAUAAAUUAUAAACUUUUAAGAAAUUAAAUUUUGUAAACUCAAACGAUAAUGGGGUGAGGCAAUCAAUAGUGAAAAUUGUAACCAUUGUUAGUUGUAUCUUAUUAUUAUAUAAACCUUAGUUUUGAAAGUUGGUAAUACACAUAAUUGCGACAUGUAUUGAUGAGAAGUUUUACUAUAUAUGAAAACACUAUAAAGAAAUUAUACAAUUUUUACAUAAACUUAAAUAAAUAAUAAAGCCAAAAAUAUAUUAAAUCAAUUUAUAUAUAACAACCAACCCCCGCGUAACGGGGGUUAAUAACAUAUGUUUCUAAAAAAAGAAUUAUUUGUAAAUAAUAAAUAAAUAUUUCGGUAACUAAAAGAAUUAUACAAUUAAUUAAUAAUAUUGUAAAGCGAUGAUUAGAACAUGUUAGAUAAAGAUAUUUAAAAAAUAGAUAUACUUCUCUAACUAAGGAAAUUACAAAAAUUAGUAAUUUUAAAACAGAAGAAUUAAUUUUAUCUUUUCUUUUUUGCUAAAGAAUUGGUUUAAGAUUACAACCUCUGUGAUAUAUAGUUUAAUUGAUAAAUAGGGUUUUUAUAAAUUUGGAAAAUAUAACUUUGACCCCACAUAUAAUAAAUCAUGACAUCUAAAAUUUAUCAAUGGAAGGCUUAAUUGUACAAAGAAACAAAAAAUGAACGAUGGAGAAUGAAUGCAUGUGUAUUACAGAUUUACAAAGUACUAGAUAAGUACCCGUGCUAUACAGCACCGGAUUUU
rnacentral:lncRNA from 1 species